rnacentral:lncRNA from 1 species
CCACUCAACCUUCCUUCCAACACCACGAUGCCUUUAGAUCCCCUUUCGGCUUCGAUUUCAACGAAGCGAACAGAGAUCCAUGGCCGAUUCGCAAGGUAAGGCUUUUUUUUCGCCUCAUUUGUUUUAAAAUGAAAAUGAUGAAAAAAACCAAUGGAAAAUAGAUAAAAAUGACAGAAAGAUUAAAAAGACUAAGAAAGAUCACCUCUUCAGAAAUUUUUUUUGAAUUUUUCUAUUCAUUUUUUGUAUAAUGUAUGUGUGUAUGCGUUUUUGUGUGCGUAAAAAUAUACAAUGACAGUGUUCUUGGCUUUAUAGCCGAAACCGAUUAAAAAAUUAAAAAAGAAAAUACAAAUCGAUUGGUUCUGCCUCUUUGUUGUACUGUUGUUUGUCUGUUUCUUAGCAGGUACGAAGGCCCGUUGGCUCGGUGGUACGUGGCGCUUGACGUGGGGCGUACGGGGGCUGUGUACUGGGGGCUGCUGAAGCACUGGAGGUUGUACGGCGCUGGAAGCUAAGGGCUGCGGCGCUAAGGAAACCCUAGGUUUCUGUUUGGCUGAACCUAGGUCUAGGUUUUGGACCAUUGGGCCUUUUACAUUGGGUUAUUUGAUUGGGCUAGGUUGUUUUGUAAAUGGGCUUGUAACUGGGCUAUUGGGUCUGAUAUGUAAUAGACUGAUAAUUGGACUUUUUAUUAUUUGGUUUUGUUUAUUUAUUUAUUAUUUUAGCUUUGAUGUGGACCCGGGCAAAUUGGCCCGUUUACAGCUGCCACUCUUUGCUCAUUUUCGUGUAACGAGAAUAGAGCAAAGACUUCAAAGAGGGCCAAUUUUUCCUGGUCUCGCAAAAUCAUGACUUCUUUGGUGUUUUUUUUCUUCGAGGUAGCCUUGUUCUGAUCCUCUACAACUUCAGGGAUAUAGGAAUUGUUGCUCCAAUCUGUUCCGCUGUAACUCUAGAGGGACUAGCCUUGUAGCUUUUAAUCUGUUCUACCGCUAUUGCUCCACUGCAACCUCAGAGAGAUAUGGUUCGCGUAUUUUUAUCCUGCUCUACUGCAACUUCAGAGAGAUAAGGAUUGUAACUUCGAUCUGCUCCACUGUAACUUCAGGGAGAUAAGAUAUGCUAACUUUAGUCUACUCCACUGCAACUGUUCUACUGCAACUUCAGGGAGAUAAGACUUGUAAUUUUCAGCCUGUUACCCUACUGCUUAGGGGGUUAAGGCUCACCGUCUUUGAUUUGCUCCACUACUGCUUAGAGAGGCAAGAUCUAUAAUCUUCGACCUGUUACCCUACUACUUAGGGGGUUAAGGCUCACUGUCUUCGAUUUGUUCAACUAUUGCUUAGGGAGACAAAAUUUACAAUCUUCGGCCUGUUACCCUACUACUUAGGGGGUUAAGGCUCACUGCCUUCGAUUUGCUCCACUACUGCUUAGGGAGACAAGAUCUACAAUCUUCGGCCUGUUACCCUACUACUUAGGGGGUUAAGGCUCACUGCCUUCGAUCCGCUCCACUACUGCUUAGGAAGAUAAGAUCUGGGAAUUCACCGAUGUUGCUACACCAUCCUCUAGGGAUAUGAUCUGUAAAACUAGUUUCAUGUAUCUAUGCUUAUGUCAAAUACUUAGGAUGCUAUGAUCAUAAUGUUUCAAAUGCUCCUACUAGAUGAAUGAUUAUGAAUGCAGAAAUGUCAUGAGAAUGAUUCUUUUUUAAAUACUUAAGGUGUCAUUGCUCAUAGUUCAUCAGGGUUCUAUCAUUGAUGAGCUAUCAUGUCUUCUUGUUUAGCUGGUAUCUUUGACAGAAAAUUUGAAGAAAUAGUCACAAUUUGGACUAUUCUUUUUCUAAUGUUUCCAACUUUUGAACCUGGUUAGUCCUGAAUAGUGGCCCUAUUUCAGGUCCUCGUACUAUUUAGAGACCUUCCAGAGUAAUAUGCAUCACUUCUUUUGUGUGAAUAUUAUAAGUCCAAAAAUUGUGAUUUCAAUAAAUUUGCUCGAAAGAGACUAUUAUAAUGAACAAGAUGGAAUUUUAUUGAGCAAAACUCAAAGUGAAUAAAUUAAAAAAGAUAGCAGAUCUGCUAAGGUACAAAAUAAAAUGAGAAAAAGGUACCCCAGAUAUCGCAGCACGAGCUUCUCUAUUCUAACUUCUCAAAGGCUAUUUCGAGCUGAACAUGUGUUUAGGAGAUCUCGCGUAUUUUUUUUAUGCUCCAAGAUAUACUAUUCUUCCCUAUUGUUAAUUUGGGAGGACAAGACAACCACAUGUCCCAUAUUCAAAAUUUGAGCUGCCUGUUUUUGGGUUUUCAACUCAGAAACCCCUUUGGUCGCAAAACGCCCUUUACGGGUUUUCACAUUGGCCUCUCCAUCUCUCUUUUUUUUUUGGGUCUCAAGUGCCCUUUGCAAGUUUUCGCUUUGGCCUCUCUCUCUUUACGUAAAAUAAUUCUCGACGGAAUCCGAAUUUACAAGAUUGGGUAAAUUUUUACCAUCCAUCUCGGCUAGGAUCAAUGUUCCUCCAAAAAAAGCUUUCUUUACCACGAAAGGUCCUUCCCAGUUUGGCAUCCAUUUCCCUCUGAAAUCUUUUUGUAUGGGAAGGAUCUUUUUCAGGACUAGGUCUCCCUCAUGGAAUUCUCUAGGGCGAACCUUUUUAUCAUAGGCUCGCAUCAUUCGUUUUUGGUACAUCUGACCAUGACGAAUAGCUCUUAUCCUCUUUCCUUCAAUCAAGCUCAAUUGAUCGUAUCGAAACUGGAUCCACUCUGCUUCAUCUAAAUUUAACUCCGAUAACACUCGAAGGGAUGAGAUCUCGACUUCAAUUGGCAAAACUACUUCCAUUCUGUAGACCAAAGAGAAAGGCGUUGCCCCAAUAGAGGUUCUGACUGAUGUUCGAUAAGCAAAGAGGCAAAUGGUAACUUCUCAUGCCAAUCUUUGUAGGUCUCAGUCAUCUUCCCCAUAAUCUUCUUAAUGUUUUUAUUGGCCGCUUCCACUGCCCCAUUCAUUUUCGAGCGAUAUGGUGACGAGUUGUGGUGUCUGAUCUUGAAUUGACUGUAGACUUCCACUAUCAUACUAUUUUUCAAGUUUAAUACAUUGUCAGAUAUGAUCUUCUCCGACAUUCUAUAUCGACAUAUGAUCUCUUUUUUUAGGAAUUUGCUCACCGCUGACUUUGUAAAAUUGGCAUAUGAAGCGGCUUCUACCCAUUUGGUAAAGUAGUCGAUAACUACAAAGAUGAACCGAUGCCAAUUAGAAGCUUUCGUUAAUAUUGGUCCAAUCACAUCCAUCCCCUACAUAGAGAAAGGUCAUGGGGAAGUCAUGACAUGUAGCAGUAAAGUAGGCACAUGAAUUUUGUCUCCAUAGAUUUGGCAUUUAUGACAUCUCUUAGCGUAAUUGACACAGUCUCCUUCCAUAGUGGUCCAGUAAUACCCGAAUAUCAUAAUUUGUCUGGCCAUUGUAAAGCCAUUAGCGUGUGUCCCACAGAUGCCCUCAUAGACUUCUUCUAGGAUUUUCUUAGCCUCUACAGCGUCUACACUUCUUAAUAGCACUUGAUCUUUUCUUCUUCCGUAUAGGAUCUCCCCAUCUAAGACAUAGCCAAUGGCCAAUCUUCUCAGCGUCCUUUUGUCAUUAUCACUUGCCUGGUCUGGGUACUUACGAUUCCUCACGUAUUGCGAUAUAUCGUGAUACCAAGGGUGAUCAUCUUUUUCUUCAUCUUCUUCAAUAUUGUAACAGUGAGCCGGAGUUUCAUAAAUGCUCAUCUGGAUGAGUUUGACAUCUUCUUAUUUGUUUACCUUGAUCAUGGAAGCUAAGGUGGCCAAAGCAUCGGCCAUCUGAUUUUCGUCUCGUAGAAGGUAGCAGAAGGUAAUGUCAUCGAACUCUUUAACCAAUUCAAGGACCAGUUUUCGAUAAUCGAUCAACUUAGGAUCUCUGGUCUCCCAUUCUCCCUUGAGUUGAUAAAUCACUAGCGCAGAAUCUCCAUACACCUCUAGCAUUUUAAUCUUGCGUUCUAUGGUUGCACGGAUACCCAUGAUGCACGUUUCGUAUUCUGCCAUGUUAUUCAUACAAUCAAAAUCCAAUUUACUAGUAAAUGGAUAAUGAUCUCCGUUUGGGGAUACCAAGACUGCCCCGAUUUCAUUACCCACAGCAUUUGAUACCUCAUCGAAGUUUAGUUUCCAGGAAAGUUCUUCUAGAGCUCCUUCUUCAGUGGUCGUAACACACAUCAGGUCUUCAUUCGAGAAAUCGAAGUUCAAAGGCUCGUAAUCUUCCAAAGCUCUAAUGGCUAAAAAAUCUGCUAUUGCACUCCCUUUUACUGCUUUCUGAUUUACAUAGACUAUAUCAAAUUCAAAGAGUAGAAUUUACCAUCGGGCCAUCCUGACUCAUUAUGCUGACCAAGUACGCAUCCCAUGGAAUUCUCAAAUACUGCCAAAUACAGUAUCAAUGGCUUAUCGGGGUUAGGUGGCAUCAGCACCGGAACGUUGGAUAAGUACCGUUUGACCUUGUCGAAAGCCCUUUGGCAUUCUUCAUCCCAUACACCUGGGUUGUGUUUCUUAAGGAGGCAAAAAAUAGGGUCACAUUUCUCGGUUAGUUGUGAAAUGAACCGAGCGAUGUAAUUUAAUUUUCCUAGAAAGUCUCGAACCUCUUUCUCGGUAUAUAGCGGAGAUAGCUCUUGUAUGGCUUUGACUUUGUCUGGAUCGAUCUCAAUCCUUUUCUCACUAACCACGAAUCCGAGAAGCUUUCCAAACCUAGCUCCGAAGGUACAUUUGGCUGGAUUGAGUUUUAACUGAAACUUCCUCAACCUUAAGAACAACCUCCUCAGGACUUGUACGUGCUCCUUCUCUGUUCGGGACUUUACGAUCAUAUCAUCGACAUAAACUUCGAUUUUUUGUGCAUCAUGUCGUGAAACAAGGUUACCAUGGCUCUUUGAUAUGUUGCCCCCACAUUUUUCAGUCCAAACGGCAUCACCUAGUAGCAGAACGUCCCCCACAUGGUUACAAAUGUGGUCUUCUCCAUGUCUUCAGGAUUCAUCUUGAUCUGAUUAUAUCUGGAGAAACCGUCCAUGAAGGAAAAUAGUGAGUGUCCUACCGUGUUGUCCACUAGGGUGUCAAUAUGAGGCAAUGGAAAAUUAUCUUUCAGGCUGGCUUUAUUCAAAUCUCUGUAGUCUACACACAUUCGUACUUUUCCAUCCUUCUUAGGGACGGGGACGAUGUUGGCUACCCAUUCUGAGUAUUUUACGACCUUUAAAAAUCCAGCGUCAAACUGCUUUCUAACCUCUUCUUUUAUUUUUAGCAAGACGUCGAGCCUCAUUCUUUGGAGUUUUUACUGAACUGACUUACAUUCUUCUUUCAUAGAGAGUCGGUGCACCACGAUAUCAGUGUUCAACCCAGGCAUAUCUUGAUAUGACCAUGCAAAGACAUCUUUGAAUUCUUGAAGUAAUUUGAUAAGGUCUCGUUUCAUCUCCAUAGUGAUACAUGUUCCGAUCUUCACCUCUUGUCCCUCUCCUAAGCUCACAAUUUCCACUGAUUCUUUGUGAGGUAGGAUUUGUUUCUCGUCUUGUUCUACCAUCCUCAACAAAUCAGGAGAUAAGUUAUAACUUUGGUUAUCUUCGAAAUCUUGAGAAUUUUUCAUACACAUAUCUCGCUCAAAAGGAGACUCUGAGCCACUAGCAGUGUCACUCAUAUCAUUGAUAUCUGGGGACCUGUUAUGAGGAUGAAGGAAGAUACAAAGAACCAAAAGAAUUUAAGAAUACUUAUCUGUAUGGUAUGAUUAUGAAUGAAGAACGAAAGAAUAUUUAAAAGAAUGUCCGAAGGACCAAAGAAUCCAAAAGUAAUCAUUUGAAUAAUAUAAUUAUGAAUGAAAUGAAAAGAAUGAAAGAAUAUCUGCUCAAAAUGAUAAUAACUGUGCAUUUUAUUGAAAUAACGUUUUUGAACAUAAGCCUAUUUCACAAAAGAUUCUUAUUACUUCUAGGCCUAGAGCAAUAAGUGUGUUUUAGACAUUAUCUGAGUCAGCUCUAAAAGCUAAAGGAAUCUCUUUCGCAGUCCAGUUAUCCAAAACACUUCCAGGUAUUUAGGGGCAAAUGCCCAAAAAAUUUUCUCCUCCAGCCCCUUCUUCAUAUGUGGCGUUGAUUUCCAACUUUUCUUCUAUGGUUUCCUUUCUUGGCGUGCCCCGCUCGGGAUGAAUGAUUCCUCCGGACACAAAAGUUUUCGAUAUAUGGGGGAGUAUCAUUGGCUCCCAUUUGAUUUCCUCCCCCUUCAACUGUGCUCUCCUUUUUUCCUGCUUCUUUUCCAGCUCUUUUUUCCUUUGUCUUGCAUCUGGCUUAAAUCCUAAGCCGAAGCGGUCUCUCUUGUCCUUCAAUAUUGACGUUUCAACCCUUCUUUAGAGAUGUCUCCCGAGUCCUCUUCCCGAUAGAGCUCAUUUUCCAACCAUCAACUAUAGACUCAUCCGUGUAGUUUUAGAUAAUUUCGGCUUCAGAAUCUUGCUUCUCUCAGUAAUGAAUGUCAUAUUAACAAAUUCCAAAGACCGAAAUGAACAUUCGAUUGCUUUGUCAUCUGUCUCCAAAUAGGGUGCAUCAUUACUUAUAGCUGCAAUGAUAUCCUCUUCAGCAUUUAUCGUUAUCAAUCGCCCCUCCGAUACUAACUUCAACUUCUGAUGCAACGAUGAGGGCACUGCCCCAGCUGAAUGUAUCCAGGGCCUCCCCAAUAAACAGUUGUAUGAAGGCUUGAUAUCUAUCACCAGGAAAUCCACCUCAUAUGUGUUUGGCCCGAUCAGAAAAGGUACCUCAAUUCUGCCCAUCACCCUUCUCUCUGUGCUAUCGAAUACUUUCACUAUGUUCUGGCACUCUUUCAUGUGAGAGCUGUCUACAGGUAAUAUGUUUAGUGUGGACAAUGAUAGGACAUUCAAGGCUGACCCGUUGUCAAUCAGUACUCCUGGUAGCGCAUACCCUUUACAACGUAUGGUGAUGUGUAAAGCUUUAGUCGACCCCAUGCCACAGGGUGGUAUCUCAUCGUCAUUGAAAAAGAUAAAGUUAUCGGCACUUAUGUUGCUAACCAAGCAGUCUAGCUUGUUGACGGAGAUAUUAUUAGCAACGUAUGUUUCAUUUAAAACUUUUAUCAGCGCGCUGCGAUAGACUUCCGAACUUAGGAGUAAGGCUAGCACCGAGAUACGAGCUGGUUGUUUACGCAGUUGUUCCAUAACACUGUAUUCACUGUGCUUUAGAAAUUUUAAAAACUCCUUAGCCUCAUCUUCGUUUACUGGCUCAUUAACAAGAAGUUCAGAUUUGGCCAAUCUUUCCUUCUUCUGUUCAGCCACUAUGGCUUUUCCUUUUGAGGGUUCUGCUUUCUUGCUUGCUGAAUCGUAGCAUAUUCCGCUACGAGUAUAGGAGCCCAUAUAUUGGUCUUCUUUUAAAGCAUCAGCCAGGUUCUCUUUUCUUGGGAUCGUUACGUUACAGUCGUAAUUCUAUUGGACCCUCUUACUGUCUUGAUAGGGGAAGACUGCAGGUCUUUGGAUUAUGACUCUCGGUGGCAUUUGCACUCCCGCUUCAUUAUUUUUGCGUCAUAAUAUGAUGACCACGGGGUAGUUAAUUGUUUGGUUCUGCACCGUCAAUUUUCUCUCUAACGCACAUAUAUCUCCCUUUCCGGGGUUUUUGGUUUCUUCAUAAAACUCUAUUUUUCUAUUAUUUAUCAUGUCCUGCACUAGAGCUCUAAACUCCAUACACUCUUGAAUUUCAUGCCCCACCUCGUUGUGGAACUCACAGUAGUUCCUCUCUUCUUCAGGUUCUUCUCUCGAAUCCUACACAAUCAAUCCUCUCUUAACCAUCUCCUUCCACACUCGUCUCAAUGGGGUUCUGACUUCUGUAACCCCAUAUUUGAUCUUUUUACUUCCGCCUUUGUUUAUCCCGUUUACUCAUUGGUCGGUAUGAUUGGGGAGCGGGUUCCUGCUACAUUGGGUACUGUUGGGUCGUCAAACCUUACAAUACCUAUUUUAAUAAAUCUUUCAACUAGCUUCUUGAACGCAGUGCAGUUUUCGAUCGAAUGCCCAGUGAUUCCUGCAUGGUAUUCGCAUUGGGCGUUUGUUUCAUACCAUUUGAGAAACGGGGGCUGCAGUGGCUUCAGGUAGAAAGGGGACACUACAUGAGCGUUGAAUAGGUUCUGGUACAGCUCCCUAUACGUCAUGGGUAUAGGCGUGAACUGUAGUCUUUCUGUGUUCGCUGUCGCGCUGGAUUCUUGUCUCACAGUGCUAUGUUGAUUGGCAGUCACCAUCUUUGGUUGGUUUAUAGUGAGUAACUUAGACUGACCCUUACUAAAUGUGAUUGUGUUGUUCACUUCGUUAUCUCUUUUCCUCGAGGCCAAUCUUUUGGUACUUUCCCCUAUUUCUAUUUUGCCGCUCCUCACAGUAUUUUCAAUCAUUUCACCUAUCAUCACUAUGUCUGAGAAGCUUUUGGUGGUACUCCCCAACAUAUGAGUGAUAAAAGAAGCCUUCAAAGUGUUGAUAAAGAUAAUCGUAGUUUCUUAUUCUAAAACGGCGGCUGAACUUGUAUAGCAACUUUUCUCCAUCUUUGCGCAUACUGUCUGAAACUUUCAUUCAGUUUCUUCUCCAUAUUUUGGAAAGUAAUCCUGUCAGGAGUCAUAUCUGUCACAUGACUAUACUGUUUCAUAAAGGCUUAAGUUAGGACUUUCCAUGAGUUAAUCUUAGCACGGCUCAAUUGGUUAUACCAUUUGGAUGCCGCCCCAACCAGACUAUCCUGGAAAUAGUGAAUCAAUAACUGGUCAUUGUUGACGUAUCCAGUCAUUCGCCUGCAAAACAUAGUAAUAUGAGCUUCAGGGCAGCUCGUUCAUUGUACUUCUCAAAUAUAGGCAUUUUGAACUUAGGGGGAAGGACUAAAUCUGGGACCAAACUUAGGUCUUUAGCGUCAAUUCCGUGACGACUAUGAGCACCUUCUAUCGCCCUGAAUUUUUCCUCCAGCUAUUUACACCGUUCCUCUAAUUAAUUCUAUGAUUCCAUCUUUGCCUUUUCUUCUUCUGUAACUUUAUCCAAAUCGAGAACAAGCGGAUAAUUCGGGUUAUUAACAGGGUUAGAGCCUGAGUUGGCUCGAAAAUUUAUCGGUAUCGAAGCUCCAGCCUGAAUCUGCUGAGGCCUAAUUGUAACAGAUGGUCUUUUUAGAUUAAUCUCAGGUUGUAUCGGUACAUGUGUCGGAGUGAAGCCAAGAGGAUAUUGAGGGUCUUCAUUAUUUUCCCCAACAUUGUCCAUGGAACCCUUUCCUUUACCCAUUCUUCCUAUCAGCAGUUGGGACAACUAACUCAUCAUCUCUCUUUGGGAUUCUAUAAUUUGCUCUUUCAUCUCUUGCUGAAUCUUGGCUAGCUGCUCUUGCAUCUGUGACUGCAUUUGUUCCUGCAUGUCCUUUUGCAUUUACUCCAAUUUCUCAAGUCUUUUGUCUAUUGACUUGGUAUUUUUCCUUGUACCGUAGGGGUGUGUAGUUGGUUGGUUUUCGUUGGUUUUCAGAUUACUGAAAUAAUUUUUAAUUAAUUAAUUAGAAUCUUUUUAUGACCUUAAAUGCAUAUGAUGUAAUGCAAUGCAAAUGCAUGAAUGCAAAAGAGGCAUCAAUUUUGAUUCAAUUCCUUUUAGAAAACUUCACUAGAAAAUAAAAUUCUUUACAUAAAACUGAGUUACAAAUAAAACUUCACCCUAAUACUCAGAGCCUUAAUUUUCCUAAGCAACGAGGCUAGCUCCUGCCCCCGAUCUAACUCUAACUCGUACUUCACGCUCAAUGUGUCCGCUUGCACCGCUAAAACUUCCAAGUAAUCGGCUACCUCCCGAAUCUGGGUUAUGGCUUCCGCCAUAAUGUAAUCCCUGUUUCUGACUUAGUCUUGCGCAUGGUGAAGUUGUUCCUUCCAACGUUCCUCACUUGCUUCAAAAAAUUGAAUCCGCAUCUCACAGCUUUGUAGUGACGCUUCUAAUUCUUCUACUUUUCCUUUCAUUUCUUCUACCUUGCUCAAGCUUGCCCUCAACUCUAUUACGGUAUUACGGCUUAAUUCACCUUGUUCAUUUCUGCUUUCUGACAGACUCUUCUCUAAAUCCCUAUUUCGUGCCUGAGCCUUUCGAAAUUUCCUUUCUCAUCGGUCGACUUUGGUCUGUUCCUCUCAGAUUUCAUGGCACCAUUGCUCUGAAGUUUUACCUAAUCUAGUAGUCCUCAUAGACAGGCAUAACUUCUUAUAAUCCGUCUUCAAACUGUCUAGAUCCUCUUUGGCCUUACAUUUCCUUCUUCUCCACUUUUCAGCCUCUAACCUCUGAAUGUCUACGUCUAAUCUCAGAUGCUUCUUUUCUUCCUCCAACUGUUCAAUCUUCUUCCCAAGCUCAAAACUCUUCUUCUCAAAAUCCUGUUUUAUAAUUUCCAACUCUGACGGGGCAACUUGUAAUUGUUCCUCCACAAGUCGAGAAUCUUCUACACUUGGUCUAGGAAUGUUUUCAUUGACCCUUUUUCUAAACCAUCCGUUGUAUUCAGGUGUCACCAUGGAAUUGACAGCCAACCUCUUCAUCCAUCGAGUUUGCUUCCAAGCAUCAGACAGUUCUCGAACCUUCUUCUUAUAGUGGUCACCUUUAAAGGAGAAUUCACACUGAGCAAGCCCGUAAGUCAUGGGUACAAACUGCCUCAAUUUAUAUUGCCUUAAUGCAAACAAUGGAGUAUACCCAGUAGCUUUCCAAAUUCCUAACAACGGUACCCAAUCAAAGUCCCCACAUCAAUACAGGAUUUCAUCAGGAACCAUCCAAUAAGCUCUCCACUCUAUGUCCCCCUCCUUGAGGUUUUGGAGGAUUUCCAUCCACUUCUCCUCUGAGAUACCUUCUCUUCUUUGUAUGACUGCCUCCUCCUAUAACGUGGAAUAACCUUCAGAAAAGACCUGAUAAAAAAUCUUGUCUACUUUCCAAAAAUGCCCAUGAAAUUACACCAUCAACAGCUGUGCACACCCAAUAAACCGUCCAUCGCCUGUCUUCCGACACAUCCUCAAGGAUUUGAACGUCUCAGCCAAUAUUGCAAGCACAGGUGUGAUUUCCUUCUCAAGACAGUCGAAUAAAUUAGUGACUGCCUCAUCGACGUGCCUUAAAGCCUUAGGAAAAAUUACCAAUCCAUAAAUGCUUAAGGCGAAGAUAUCGACCCUCUUUCUUUCAUCCGGAUGCGUUAAAACCAAAUCUCUCAAAUUCUCCCAAGAGAUACAUUUAUUAUCUCCCUUUUGUUGAAUCCGAGCAAUGACCCAAGGCUCGCUCAUCCCUGAAAUAUUCAUCAAUUUCUUCGCAAAAAUUUGACCAUUAAAAACCUUGGCAUAAGCUUUUCUAACUUGAAUUUUUGGACACCUGAGUAGGGUAGUAUAUUCCUCCAUGGUAGGCACUAAAUCCACUUCCCCAAAUGUGAAACACUUGUAAGCAGAAUUCCAAAAUUGAACCAUAACUCAGAACAGGUAUUUGUCCACCUUAACAUCCAGCAAAUAGGAUAUAUCACCAUAGCUUUGAUAGAACAAUUGUUUGGUUCUUUCAUCCCAAUGAGCCCAUAUAUCUCUUAACUCUUGCAACUCAUUCUGUGUUACAUUGACGCGAGUGAAUUCCUGCAACUCUGAUGUAUAUCCUUCUGCCAGGCUAUCUCCUUUCUCCGAUUGUAACUUCUCUGACCAUGCGCGGACGGCUGCAUUAUCCUCAACUUUAUUAAGAAAUUCAUUCUUCAUGUCAAACUUUCUAACUUAGUAAUCGAAUACGAAUCAAAACUGUAGUCAACCAAUUUUGCCCGAGUCUUUAUUUUAUUUAUACAUUCAAUAGCUAGUCAAAUAAACUUAAAUAAAGUCCCAAUAGUCCAUUUAUAACCUUAAAUAAACACUAACAAAUAGCCCAAACAUAUACAGAGGCCCAAAGGCCAAUAAGCCCAAUUUGCAAAAAGGCCCAAACUUGAAAGAACCCCAAAAGGGGAAUCUCAGCAGCUGAAAGCACUAGGGGUUUCUAGAACACACCAGUGCUGCAAUCACGGCUUUCACGAGCAAUUUUUUCCGUACGGCCGUUGCUCCAUCCCUGCAUUAGAAUACACGAGAAAAGGAUAGAAACAGAAUACGGUAGAUGACAACAAUAAAAUGUAUUUUUAUUUUAUUUUUAUUCUGAAAUUUUAGCUAUAAAAGCCGAUGAUUGUACCUACAAAAGGGAUUACGCUCAAUACACGCAUGCACAUUAGAUAUUCAAAAAUCUAGCCAAAAAUUUGAAAGGUGAAUUCCGGAUUUAUUCUUUAUUUUCUUUGAUUGAUUCGCAUAUUUAGUACGAGUAUUAAAAGGGGGAAAUCUAGACCGACGCCGAUGAAAAGCCCCAAACAUCUCAGAUAUACAUAGAUGUGGGCGAGGGUCGAGUGAGAUUAAAGUUUUGUUUGAAUAUAUGUGAAAUUUAUUUCGUUUUUAAAAAAAAAAACAGUAUAAGAUUCACGUUUUUUCGUGGGAAAAAAAAAAGAAAAAGGAGCGAAGUUACCUGAUUUUUGGAAAGGUGACCUUCGUUGGCUAUAUCUGGCCCUUAUCCGCGCCACUGGCCAUCAAACUGAUGGAGGUUAAGGGCUGCGUGAUGAAAUGAACCCACACAGAGCAAGAGUUCUAUUUUUGCGUCUGCUUUGAAAAGGAAUGAAUGAAAAUGGGCAUUUAAACAUCCAAAGCAAAACGGCGCCACACAGGGGGGGAAGGGUCCGCACGUUAACCCGCCUGGAGCCUCGAAUUUGUGCCUUUGCGCCUGGAAUGGAAUAUUUGUGUGGCAGGUCCCUCCUCCUUGUACCGCGUUGUAAUCUGCUCCUAUUUGCAUUUGAUUUGCUUUAUUUUCUUUUAGAUUAUCCCUAAAAUUUGAAGUACUUUUAUGUUUUAGUCCAUAUCUCAACGCAAUGUUUCAGGAUUAGGGAUUAUUUCAAUUUUGAUCCCUGUGAAUUCAUGUGUGUUAUAUAUAUGUCUCCAUUAGUAGUUUUACUUAUUUUGUAAAUUUUCUUUUUAUUUUACUUUGAUUUCGAUUAAGUAUUUUAUUAUAUUUAUGUUAUAAAUUUGGGUUUAUUCACUCAUAUAUUUUUAGUCCUUUUAUUAAUGUAUGUGUAUUCAUCCUUAUUUUAUUUACAUUUUUAUUUGUUAUUGUUUAUAUUAUUUGUAAUGUUAAUAUUAAUGGUAUUAUUUGUAUUGUUGGUCACUUAUUUGUUGUAAUUUGAAUAAUUGAAUUUCCCCAUGUUGUAUACUAUUUUAUGUAGUGUUUUAUGCGUUAUUAUGCAUGUAUAUACCUCAUAAUAAUUGCUUUUUAUUCCAUGAACAUUAUUAACAUUAAAAUUAACUAUUUUUUUUCACAUAUUAAUGUUAUUUAUAUUUGUUUUUUUUUUAAAUGAAAUCGCAUGUUAUAUACAUUAACUAAAUUUUAACUAUACAUAUACAAAAAUUAUUGAUUUAUAUAUAUAAUUUAAAUACAUUUUUAAACAUUAGUAUUUUUAUUUCUUUUAGAUUUGUUCACAUAUCUUUCUUAUUUAAAAAGAAAAUCCCACAUAUUUUGUGUAUUAUUUAAGUUAUUAUUAAACAUAUAUUUAGAAUUUAUAUUUAAUUUGUAUUCAUUAUUAAAGCCAAGAUAUUCUUAUACAUAUAUAUUUUUUUAAAUAAACUCAUAUAAUUGUGUUUUUAAAAUUAUUACGUAUAUAAGUUAUGUUUAAUUCUAUAAUUCAUAUUUUAAUUAAAUGAUAUUUUGAGAUAUAAUUAUUUUUAACAUUUUUUCACAUGUAUAUGGCAUAUAUUAAAUUAUUUUUACUAUGGUACAUGUUAUUAUUUUCAUAUAACUUUAUGUAAAUAUUUUUUUAUGUAUAUAUAUCCUCUUUAAAAAUUAUUUAUGUGUAUAAUGUUUUUUAAGAACCCCUUUAAAUCGUAUAAUUUAUUGUAUUUCAUAUUAUCCUUAUGUUUUUUCAUAUAUAUAUUUUGUUACUUAUAUAACUUAUAUAUUUACUUCAUUUUUUUAUACAUUAUUAAUUCCAUUCUUUUUAUCAAUAAUUAUACCCAAUGUUUAUUUGUAUAUAAAAGUUUCAUAAAUCUAUUUUGUACAUUAUUUUAUAUUAUGAAUUGUUAUUCCUUCAUAUUUAAUACAUUUUUUAAGUUAUCUUGUGAAUUAUCAAUUUUUGAAUAAAUUUGUGUUUUAAAUAUUUUGUAUAUAAUUUGAUUUGAAUUUUGAGAUUUAUAAUAACUAUUUCAAUAAACAUAUAUCCCAAGUUUUACGCAAAUGUGUCAACUUAUAUAUAUUAUAUGAUCAUUAAUUCUUCAUUUUGUUUCAUACAUAUUUUUAUACAUCAUUUUAUUUUGUGUUAUGAUCAUGUAUAUUAUUUUUAUAUUAAUUGUUCAUUAUCCAUGCUUAAAGAACUUUUUUACAUUAUACCUGGAAUAAUUGUUAGAUGUAUUGAGCAAGGUUUAUUGUAUUUUGGGUGUAUUAUUUCAUAUUUAUUAUUUUUUACAAUGCAUUAAAUACUUCAUCAAUUUUAAAAUGAAUAAACAUGUUUUUAAGCAAAUUUCUAAAUUUCAGUUAUUUUAAAUUUCUGAAAUAAGGCAAUAUCUAAUAUUUGGGGAAUUAAGAAAAAUCGUGCUCAAUCGUACUGGGUAUGACUUUUCCGGUGAACCAAAUAUUUAGAUAACCUUUUAUACUUUUAAUGUAUGAGUUUUUUUUCAAAAUUCGAACAUCGAUCGUAUCUUAAAGGUAUAAGGGAUCGUAUCCAAUCGUACUGGGUAUGAAACCGCAUAUCUUUAGAACGAGAGAUUUUUAACAGCUAAUUUGAGCUAUUCAAACAUUUUUUUUAUAUACUUCAUAAAAUAUUUUUUUAAAAACUUUUGAUAGAAGGACAGCAUCAAAUCAAUUUGGUACCAGUUUUUGGGCGUAAUGAGGGUGCUAACCCUUCCUCAUGCGUAACCGACUCCCGAACCCGUUUUUCUUUAUUUUGCCUAAAUCAAAUUUAUUUUUUAUUGAAUAAAAUGUUUUAGUAGGAGAUCCAAUCACACCUAAAGAGAUUGGUGGCGACUCUACACUCGGUUUUUAAUGUCGAUCCCUAUUGUUUUCCAAAUAAAAAAAAGGGUUUCGACAAACACCUCUUUUAGUAUGCAAUGCUAUGCAAAACAUAAUCAAAACAAAACACAAGUUUGUAUCAAAUAUAAGUGAUAAAAUACAAGCACAACAAAGAUAAUUAUAACACACAUAUGGGAAAAUACUAAGGCUCGAUGCGGUUUUACCCAAGGAUAGCUCUUAAGGUUCACUAUAUGUGGUUCGGUUCUAGAGAUAAAGUACCUGAACCAGCAGAUUCCUCAAUCCUCACCCAUUAUAGGCUCAUAUGGAUCAAGUUCGAUCCAGGGGAAUACAUUUUCCUAUGACCACGCGGAGAUGAAAAUCUCAAGAAAUCAUAGGUACAGAUGUAUCCCGGAAGCAAUCCACUAGCCCAUGCGGAGGUGAAAACCUCACGAAAGCAUAGUUUCUUACUCCCGAUUAGAAAGUGUGACCACAGCGAUCAUGCAAUGCAAUGUAAUAUUAUUCUACAAGACCCGAACCAUGAAAAUCAUACAAACAAAUGCAAUCAUGAUUUUCAAAACAAAUUUUCAAUUUCUUUGACAAAAUGACAACGAAUAAUCAAUUUUAUGGCUUGACUCUCUUGUAUCGAUCCCCAGUGGAGUCGCCAAGCUGUCGAAACUAUUUUUUUUAUUUAAAAAAACGGGGAUUGACUUUUUGAAAACAAACUGUGGAGUCGCCACCAAUAUUUUAUUUAGGUGUGAUCGGGUCACCUAAUAAAACACUUUGUUUUGUUAAAAUUGAUUUUGGCCUCCGUAAAUUUGAGAAAAAGGGUUCGGGAGUCGGUUACGUAUGAGGAAGGAUUAGCACCCUCACUACGCCCAAAAUUGGUACCAAAUUGAUUAAGUAUUGUCCUUAUGUCUAAGAUUUAAAACUAUUUUUGAAAUAUGGUUCCUUUUAAAACAUAUGAAUGGCUUAAGUUGGUCGUCAAAAUUCUCUUGUUUCGAAUGUAUACAGCAUCAUAUCCAGCACGAUAGGACACAAUCCUCCAUACUCUUAAAAACACGAUAAAUUUUUGACUUCCAAAAAUUUAUAUGUUGAAAAUUACAAAAAAGGAUGCCCAAUUAUUUAGUCCAACGAAAAACCGAAACCCAACACGGUAAGGCACGAUUCCUCGAAUUUCCAAACAUUGACCAUUGCCUUGUUUUAGAAUCUUAAAAAAACGAGUGAAAUUCUAAAGGAGUAUUCGAUUAUUUUGAACAAAUAGGAAAUUGCAACCCAGCAUGAUAGGGCACGAUUCCCCGAAUUGCCAAAUAUCGAACAUUUCUUUCAUUUUAAAGAAUUUUUUAAAUGAAUAAUUAUAAAACUAGCUUAAAACGCAUUAAUUCGGCUUGAAAUAGGAAUGGAAUAAUUAGUUUUAAAAAGUUAGACAUUAUAAGGCGACAUUUGUAAACCAAGAGGAAAAAAAUUGAAAACAUAGGGUAACAUGUAUGCAUAAAAUACGACAAUGGAUGAAUGAAGAUAAUAUGUCUUAUUUAAUCAACUAACAAAACAAUUAAAUAUGAUUAAUCUAAAAAUAUAACCCAAAUUUCAAGCAUGUACGGAGAAUAAUUAAUAUAACAAUACAAAACAAUGAAUAAAUAAUAUGCAACGACGAUGUAUGGCACCAUAUAAAUCAAUCAACAAAACAUGUACAAAACAAAAUGGAAUUUAGAAGUCAAUGUGGUAUAAGAAAUUUUCCAAAAUAAUGAUGAAUUAAUUAACGCAUAAUAUAAAAGUUGACAAAUUUGCAUAAAAACUAGGGAUAUAUAAUUAUUGAAAUAGAUAUUAUAGAAUAAAAGUUUGAAUCAAAUUAUAUGCAAAAUAUUUUAAACACAAGUUCAUUCAAAAAUUGACAAUGUACAUGAUAACUUAAAUAAUAUAUAAGAUAUGAAAGAAUAAUAAAAAUACACGAUAAGAUAUAAUACACAUAAUAGAUUUACAAAACAUGCAUAUAUAAAUAACUUUAAAAAUAAUUAUUUGCAAAAACAUGGAAAUACAUACAAGAUUAAAUUAAUUUGGUCAUACGUGUUCGAAUACAUAUAAAAACAUUUAAAUCAGAUACUACAUAAUAUACUAAAAUAAUAUUAUAUAAAGAAGAAUUUCCAAAUAAUAAUUUUAUAAACACAAAAAUGGAAUUCCCGAGUAACUUUACAUAUAUAAUUAAAUGAAUUUUAAAACAAUAGAUAUUUUAAAUAGAAAACCCGAUUACAAUAACAUAUGUGUUAAUAUAUAUAAAAAUAUUUAAAUAAAGAAAUUACAUAGAAAGCGUUAAAAUAGUUUAAAUGAAAAAAUUUAAAACGAUGAUUUUAUAAAACAAAAUAAAACUAUUAAGAUGGCACAACACAUAUGCAAAGACGUGGUGAACUUCGAAAUAAUAAGCAUUACUAAUCAAUGAGCAUAAUAAAUGUACAAAUUUGUAUAAAAUAUUUAAAGAAGUAUUGUGUAAAAUGUAGAAAUAACAUGAUAAAAAAAAACUUCAAAAUAAUUGUACAAAUAAAAAUGGACAAAAUCAUUAAAAUGGAUUGACACAUAUGAAAAUAUUAAAUGUGUUUUAAAUUAGUAAGUUAAAAAAAAACUAAAUUAAAAUGGAGUUAAAAUAAGAGGGACAAUUUAAAAAUAAAAUAAACUACUAGGAUUAAAAAAAGGACCCUUGCACAAUACGCGUACAUUCGCAGAGGCUAAUGAUGAAAAUUUCCCCGACCCAAGAUGUUGUGUUCAAUCGAGGGUUACAUUGCAACAGCACACAAACUUUGGGAGAAAUUAAAAAAAAACUAAAGUAUUAAUUGGAAUUAAUUGCAUUGCAAUGGAAAAGUGGAGGACCUAACUUGAAAUUAUCCCUCUCCACUGAAACAAGCGGUUCCCAGGGGUUAAGAAAACAAAAUCGGGUUGGGCAAGCCAUUUCAAGGCUACAUACACAUGCCCCAAACGGCAUCACUUCAUGCUGCCAAUUUAAGCUUCUUAAAAGCCAAAUGUUUUGGCAGAACAAAUUGAAAAAGAAAAAAAACCUAAAGGUUUGCUCCUAUUUGGCCGCCACUCAACCUUCCUUCCAACACCACGAUGCCUUUAGAUCCCCUUUCGGCUUCGAUUUCAACGAAGCGAACAGAGAUCCAUGGCUGAUUCGCAAGGUAAGGCUUGCUUUUUCCCCUCCUUUGUUUUAAAAUGAAAAUGAUGAAAACAAUUUAUGGAAAAUAGAUAAAAAUGACAGAAAGAUUAAAAAGACUAAGAAAGAUCACCUCUUCAGAAAUUGUUUUUGAAUUUUUCUAUUCAUUUUUCGUAUAAUGUAUGUGUGUAUGCGUUUUUGUGUGCGUAAAAAAAAUACAAUGACAGUGUUCUUGGCUUUAUAACCGAAACCGAGUAAAAAACGAAAAAAGAAAAUACAAAUCGAUUGGUUCUGCCUCUUUGCUGUGCUGUUGUUUGUCUAUUUCUUCGCAGGUACGGAGGCCCGUUGGCGCGGUGGUACGUGGCGUUUGACGUGAGGCGUACGGGGGCUGUGUGCUGGGGGCUGUUGAAGCGCUGGAGGUUGUACGGCGCUGGAGGCUAAGGGCUGCGGCGCUAAGGAAACCCUAGGUUCCUGUUUGGCUAAACCUAGGUCUAGGUUUUGGGCCAUUGGGCCUUUUACAUUGGGUUAUUUGAUUGGGCUAGGUUGUUUUGUAAAUGGGCUUGUAACUGGGCUAUUGGGUCUGAUAUGUAAUGGACUGAUAAUUGGACUUUUUAUUAUUUGGUUUUAUUUAUUUAUUUAUUAUUUUGGCUUUGAUGUGGACCCAGGGAAAUUGGCCCGUUUACAAAACAUAUCAAAGUUUAUAUAAACAAAUUACUAACAUGUAAAAGUUUUAUAUAAAUUUAUAAUAUUUUUGAACUAGAAAUGAUAAUUGAUAAGUGUGUAAUUUUCUAAUUAUUCGUGAUGUUUCUCGUCUUAAAUUGUGAUAUUUAUAUUCUUAAUUAUAUUAUUUAUAUUUUAUUUAUAACAAAUUUAGAGAAUAAUUGGAGAAAAAUGAACUUAAAAUUUAUUUUUGACAAGUUUUUUCGUAUUGGACUUUCACACACAUAGCACUUUCAAUAUUUUGGCCAUAAUUUGAGCUACAAAUCUCCAUUUUUGGCCUAUAAUAUUGAUUCAAAGGGAAUUGAAAGAUCCAGCCAAAGCUAUUUCAAGGUUGAAGCCCAAAAAUGUUAGAAAGAUAUCCAGAAAUUCUCUCAAAGUUUGGCGCGAAAAUAGCCGAAAAGCCUAGAAAAAUUCUGCUUUAUUUAAUUAAGGGAACUUUUGUAUUUUCUCCAUUAUAUUAUUUUUCCCUAUAAAUAUACAUUAUUAGGUUAAGACUGGGGGAGACGAAUACAUGGUCGCUCUUAGUUUUAUUUUGAUUUUGUGUUUUAUUUUCUUUAUGGGUUUCUAAACUUCAUUUCUAGUUAAUGUAAUAUUUGAAGUUUGAUUCUAUAAAGUUUGUGAGAUUGAAUUGUUCUUAAUAUUUUCUUUGCUCUUUAGUGUUUGCAUGUCUUCUACUUGAAUUACAAUUGUUCAAGUUUGUGAAAUAUGCGACUGGUAUUUGAUAGCGUAGAAUGAUUGCUUAGUCAAUUAGAAACUUAUUCGAUUGAUUGGUUCUAAUAUUUGUGAUGACUAAUGAUUUGUGUAGUGAGGGCAUGUGAUCUAACUUAAAUCAAUCCCGAUUAUGUGUUUAUUGGUUAGAAUUGGGUCUCUUUUGUUUUUUUAUGUUAUUUGAUAAAUUAAAUCCUAAGCGAUCGUUAUAGGGUUGUUUGUCAAUAAUUGAAGUAAUUAAUAGUGAUUGUUUUUAUUAUCGAGAAGGUGAGUAGAGAUUAGGUUACUAGACGAUUGUCGGUAACUAUAAUCAAUUUAUUAAAUAACAUUGAAAGUCAUCCUUGCAUCGUUGAUCAAACCCCUGAAUCAAAUGGAGAUUUUGCUUUGGCUAGAGUUUCAUCUUAUUUAUUUUCUCCAAUUUUAUUUGUUAGUUUUCAAUUUAGCUUUCUUCCACUCUUAGUUUUACUUUGAAGUUUUCUUUAGAAACAAAACUCAUUUUUUAUUUAUUUUAUUAGUUUUAGUCAAAGGUAUAAAAUUACUACUGAUCUCUAUAGAUUCGAACCUACUCACCAUUAAUUGUAAAAUUCCAUUUAUUUGAGUAGGUUUUAGUUUUGGCAACUUUGACAACCGUACAACAAUGAAUGACAUGGUUUAAGAUAUUUAUGAAUUCAAAAGCUUUAACUUUAAUUCAAUUAUACACGAUUAAAAAAGAAAUAUAUAUACUUAUUUUCAUAUUAGAUAAUUAUGGUUAUUUGUGUAAUGAAUUAGUAAACUUAAAAAUUGUGACACAUCAAUAAUAAUAUUAAUAAUUUGUAAGAUUUAAAUUAAAAAUAAAAAAUCAUAUAUAUAAAAUUACACUAAAUGCAAAUUCAAAUUUAAUGUAACACAUAAAAAUAAAAUCUAAGUAUAAUUUUGGUAUUUAUUUAUUUAAUCAAAUCCCACACUUUACAUGUUAUUUGGGAGUUUAGUGGUAGGUAUAUGUAAUAGAGAUGCCUUUUGGAAUGCAAUAUGAGGAGGUGCUUGAAAUGAUUUUCUUCUAACCUACAUUGGUAUCUGCAUAUUUAGAAAAGAAAGCUUAGAUGCUGUUUGUUUUUUUCUCUCUAUAAAACAUGUCAUGUAUUCUUUGGGUGAGUUUGGAUGGGCGAUUGGGUGCGGUGCGGUGCGUUUAGCUUACUUUUUGUCUCUCGCUACAAUAUCGCUACAGUAUCUAAUCUCACCGCCACCGCUAUUUUUACACUAAACAGAGGUAAACGCACUGCCCAUCCAAACUCACCCUUUGUCUCAUUACGUCGUGCUUUCUAACGUCACUUCAUCCUUGUAUUUGUAUUUGAUUUAAUACCCUAAUAUUAUAUUUAAGUUUUUUAUAUGAGUUAGUAUUAUAAAUUAAAAUAAGUAUGUUUUCUUAUUUUUAUAUUUAUUUAUAAAAUUAAUAAAUUUAAAUUUUAUUAUUUUAAUCAUCAGUUCACUUGAUUCUUAUGUAAGCCUUUAAUAAAUAUAUUUUAAUAUUUUCUUUUAACCUUUAUUGUGAGUGUAAUUUAAUCAAAUACAAUAAUUUACUGUGAAAUAUCGCCAACAAUAUAUGGAGAAGUGACUAAACACCCUUCUUAAUACCCUAAAUAUUAGGUUUCAAACCCUUUGUCCUCACCCCUCAAUUUGUAAUAUAUAAAAAAUACGUAUAUGUAAUGUCAUUAGUUAAAAAAAUUAGUUUCAAUUAUUUGUUAAUUGUUGUUAUUAUUAUUAUUUUUAUAUAAUUUUUAAAAUUAUUUAUAGCCCAUUCUCAACCUGUAAAUAGGAGGAUAAUGUACUUUUACGCACUCAAAUCCACGUCCUCUUGCAUUAGCAAUAAUACUCAUACAAAUUAAACCAAAACCCAAUCGGCAUUGUUGGUAUAUAGUUUAUACACACAUGUUGAAUUCAAAGCUCAUACAUAUUAAAUAAUGUUAAAAUGUAAUAUUGCACAGAUGGAUAGUACCAUUAGUUUCAAUAGGGUUAAAAAUGAGGGUGAUAGUAAAAUUAAUUAUUGUAGUUUUGAAAUUAGGGAUGAUAAAAUCCAAACUAUUUCAUAGAUUUCUAACAAAUCCGUUUUAUAUGGAGUCGAUUUUUUUUUAGACAGGAUGAAUUUUUUCUUUUAAGCAGUAGGUAUGGAGCGACAAUGGUAAUUGUUUGCGCUGUCCACCCCACCCCACUCCACUAUAUAAAUUAUCCACCCCACCCCACUCCACUAUAUAAAUUAUCAUUAUAUCAUUGUGUAUAUAUAAUUAUUAAAAGAGAAGAUGCAAUAAUGUUGUAAUAGGCCCAUUUCGCCCGGGCCUAUACAAGAACCAAAAAAACCAAAAUAAAAAAAUAAAAAAAUAAGGUCCAAAGUCCAACAUUACAAAAAGCCCAGCUUUUGGCAUAAUACCAAAUUUACAUUUAACCCACAUACAAAUUGAAGCCCAAACUUUAAACUUAUUUUAAAAAAAGGCCCAAUCUUAAAGCGACCUAAAUGGCCCGGACAAAUUGAAACUUCUGGAACCCUAGGCUUCCCCACGCCGCAGCUCCUACGCACGGUUUUCUUCGUCCCCUCUGUACGCCCCAUGUGCGCCACCACCUCCAGCUGGCUCCUCCUGCAACCGAUUAACAAACUAUAGCAAACAACUCAUGGACAGCAAAGGAAAAUAGCAGAAGGAUUUAGGGGAUUUCCAUUUUUUUAUUUUUUAUUUAUUUUUCCUGAUUCGAUUAUAAAAGAAAAUGGAUUGUAAUCUAAAAGGGGGAUCUUUUUCACAGAAAUACAUUACGAAAUACUGAAAUACAAAAAAAAACACCAAAAUCGAAAGGUGAUUUCUAAUUCAAAGGUUCUUUAUUUUUUUUUAUUUUCAACUCUGUUCAUUUUGUUUUUCAUUAGAGUUUAAAAGGAUUUGAAAAUAAAAAAGGCGAGGGAUUUACCUUACGGAAAUACUGGGGAUCCCAUCUGUUUGGUUGAAAUUAGAGUUGAGAAGGAAUUUCACGGCUAAGAUUAUCGUCUCUCGAAGCCCGAAUCUGUUCGUCAACAUUGAUAGAGGCAAAUCGGUGCUUAAGAGAGGGAUGUUAGGAUCGGUUGAGGGAAAAUCAAGAGAGGCUAGGGUUUUGAUUCAUAGAAAGCGGCUGAACCUUGCUUUUUUGCUGUGUUUUAGCUUUUAUAAAGGGCAGAAAACAGCACUGUUCAGAGUCAAUUGCAGUGGCUUCAAAACAGUGCUGUAUAAGGCAACCCGCUUCAACCCGAUCCACUACUGUGAGGAUCCACACUUUGGUUUAAAAGGAAUAAUUCGCAAUUAGUCCUUCCAUUUUUCCACUGACUUUUAAUUUGGCCCUAUUUGAAUUCAAUUUGUUUUUCUAAAUUGCCCCUGGAUUUUGUGCGUAAAUUCAAUGUGGUCCUUUCCUGAACGCAGCGUUUUGGAUUUGGGACAUUUUUGGUUUUAAUCCUUGAUUAUUUGAACGCGUUUUACUCCGGUCCUUAGUUCUGUUUUAACCUUUUGAUUUAUUUAUAAAUUAUCCCUUCUAUUUUAAUUCCAUUUUAAUUGAGUCUUCUAUUUGUAUAAUUCAUUAUUUUAAAAUUCAUUUAAUAUUUUUAUAUAUGUUGAUCCAUUUCAAUAUUUUUUUAUGUUUUUAUUGGUAUAAUUGGGUUGGAUUUCUUUUUUUUUUUUUAUAACAUAUAAUUUUAACAUUUUGCAUAGUAUUUGAUUCAAAUCUUUUUAUGUACUUGUACUUAUAUUAUUUUAAUUGAGUCUUUUAGUCAUUAUGAUUUUAAAAAUCCAUUUGUUUUUGUUGCAUGUGUGUUUAACCAUUUUGAUAACUUUACUUUUGAAAUUUGUUUUUAUGUCAUAUUGUUCUAACUAUUUACAUAAUAUUUUGUUUAAAUAUUGUUUGGGUAUAUUUGUACGUACAUUAUUUUAAUGGGAUUUUUUAUUUAAAAUACUUAUUGUUUUAAGAUUCAUCUAAUGCUUUUAUAUAUAUAUGAAGCUAUUUUGUGUUUUACAUAGUUUAUAUAGUAUUUUAUUUAAAUGCUUUUACGUAUAUUUGUAAUGUAUAAGUUGUAGAUUAACUUAAUUUUAUAUGCAUUAUUAAUUUCAUGCUAUUUUUACAAGUAAUUACUUCCAAAUUUAUUUAUGUAUAUAUAUGUUUUGUAAAUCUAUUAUGUGUAUAGUUUAUUAUUAUGUUUUGUAUUCAUUAAUUCAUCAUUAUUUUAAAAUUGUCUUAUACCACCUUGACUUCUAAUUUCCAUUUUGUUUUGUGCAUGUUUUGUUGAUUGUUUUAUAUUGUGCUAUAUCUCUUGUUGUUGUAUAUCACUUAUUCAUUGUUUUAUUUGUUAUAUCAAUUGUUCCCCAUACAUGCUUCCUAUGGUUUCAUUUUGCUUAGAUUAGCUAUAUUCAGUUAUUUGAUUUAGUCGGUUAAGUAAGGUUAUGCUAUCUUCGUUCACCAAAUAUUGUAUGUCAUGCAUGUAUCUUAUCCCAUGCUAAUUAUUUUUCUUUUAGUUUACAAAAUGUUGCGUUAUAAUUCCCAACGCUUUAAAAUCAACCACUCCAUUGAAUUUCAAAUAAAAUUAAUAUGUUUUGAGUUUACAAACCUUUUAAAAAAAAUCCUAAAAUAAGGCAAUGUUCAGUAUUUAGAAAUUCGAGAAAUCGUGCCCUACCGUGCUGGGUUCCGAUUUUUCGUUGGACUAAAUAUUUGGACACCCUUUUGUAACUUUUGACUUAAGAGCUUUUGAAGUCAAAACUCGAUCGUGUUCUCAAAAGUAUAAAGGAUCAUGUCCUAUCGUGCUAGAUGUGAUGCUUUAUACCUUUGAAAUGAAAAGGUUUUGACGACCAACUUAAACCACUCAAAUGUUUUAAAGGGAACCAUGUUUUAAAUUUUUGAAAAACUCUAGACAUAAAGACAGCAAUUAAUCAAUCUGGUACCAGUUUUUGGGCGUAGUGAGGGUGCUAACCUUUCCUCAUACUUAACCGGCUCCCGAACCCAUUUUUAAAUAUACGUGGACCAAAAUUGAUUUAAAUGGAACAAAAUGUUUUAUUAGAUGAUCCAAUUACACCUAAACAAAAAGAUUGGUGGCGACUCCACAUUUGGUUUUAAAAAGUCGAUCUCUGUUUUUUUCAAAAUAAAAAAUGGUUUCGAUAAAUGUAGUAUAAAAAUUUUCAUAUAUUUUAUGUUCAAAUAUUUUUCUGAAGAAUUAUGAUUAAAUAUUUACUUAACUUUAAAAUAUUGAAGAUAUUAAAAAUAAACAGCAAAAAUUAAAUUGAAAUGGAGUGGGGUGAAGCGGGGACGGAUGCAUCUAACAUCCAUGGAGCGUAGUAGUAAAUUUCAAGAUUACAUAUCUAUAGCAGAGCAGAGCAGAUAGUGGAGCAAAUCAUGUCAACUAUGAAGUGGUGGUGUAUUUAGCAAAAUUCACCCCGCCUUACUCAGUUACUAUCUCUACAUGAGAUUGAAUACUGUAGUGAUGGGAUCUAUAUUAGAUUCGAACACAAUAAUAAUGAUGAUGUAAGGAUGAAAAAUUAAUAUUAAUAAAAUUAAACUAAAAACUAUAUAUAAUAGAAGUUACAAAUUGUUUCAUUUCAAUGAAAUUAUUAAAAAUAUAUCAAAUUAUAAUUUUAUUAAUAAGAUAUUAUGAUAACAAUAUAACAUUUUUAAAUUUUUAUGAUUGAUGUAAUUAUUUAUUGUUUAUCUAAUGUAUUAUCAUUAUUUUAUAAGUAUUUUUAUGAUAUUUAACUUUUUUUUUUUAGCAACACAUCCAAAGGGGCCUUAACUUUUUUACUGAGUAAAUAUCCCAACUUCUGUAAGAGAAGCUUACUUUUUCCCAAAAGAAAAUUAAGUUGAAUAAAAUUAAAUUUCCCAAAAAAAUUUAUUUUCAUGGGCAGCACUAGAAGUGCAGGUAGGACAUCGCAAGUCUUUCUCAGUCAUGGAUCGUGUAUUUUUUUUUUCAUUUUUUACUGAAUGGUGAAAGUUAAAUUAUAAAUUUUUUUAGAAAUUCUUAAUGAAAAUUUAUCAUUAAGUUAUAAUUACUUUGUAACUGUUAAAGAUACCACACUGUAAUUUUAGUAUUUUUAGAGCUAAGGCCCUUACAUGCACUUCUAAUAUUACCCCAUGAAAAUUUUACAAGGAGAGAAAUAAAGUUAAAGGCUAAAGUGGAAACAUAAUAUAUGUAGGUAUUGGGAAGAGAAUGGUAUGAAAAAAAAUCAUGGGCAAUGAGAGGGAUAUGCAAAAUGUAAGAUUUGUAGUAUGGGUAGGAUGAUGCUUGUUGAUUAAAUGGAAGGAUUAGCAGUCCAUAUGAUGAAGUGAAAGAAGCACUAAAAUGGUGAUCUAAAUCCAACUCAAGACUUAGCCCAAAACUAGAAAUAAAGCAAAAUCCAAAUCUAGCUGAAGACUUGGCCCAAAUUUGGGAUUUUGGAUGAACCCCCCCCCCCCCCAAUUGGCCUCUCUAAUGGAGCCUUCCCCCAAGAUUUCUAAUGCAUCAUUCAUUUUAUUACUUGCAUUGUAUUCAAUCUAAUAAUUUACUAUUUUCUUACAAUAUUUUACUAUAGUUGAUUAUUUUACAUUUACAUCUGUAUAUUAUCAAAUUAUUACUUCUUUUUUAAAAAAUAUUUCUUAUGCAUUUUUAUUGUAUUUUCAUUCAUUAGUUAAUUUAACAUUUAGUACCUAAACUUAUACUUUUUUUCUUAAUUUGAUACCUAAGCUUUUUUUUUUCAAAUUAGUACUUGAAUUAGACACUUUUUCCUAAUUUUUUUAUCUAUUUUUUUGACUUUUUUUCUAAUUUGUUACCUAAACUUUUUUUUUUUGUCUAAUUUGAUACCUAAACUUGUCAAUGUUGUACAAUUACUUUAAUAGACUAGCAAUAUUAUUUUUUAUGAGGUAGCGAAAAUAAUCAAUGUAUAAAUAACAUGAGAUAGAUGACAGUAAUUUCUUUUUUGUAUUUUAAAUGUUCAAUUACUUUUAGUUUAAUUAAUUAAUUAAUUUAAUAUAUUAAAUUUAACAUAAUGAAUUUAUUCUAUUUUUGGUUAUUUUUCAAUCUCUUGUUUUCAUUCUUCAAUAUUAAUUCGUUAGGUAUAGCUCAAAACACAAUUUUGUAACACGGAUUUUCUUUGAUACUGAUGAUAUUUUUGUAGAACUGAGGGUUUUGUGAAGACCAAGCAAUGCUUUGAGCAUGCAGUCCCUCUUCAAUCUUUCCUGCCAUUAACAAUCGAAGUAAUCUCAACCCGAAUAAAAGUAAAAUUUGAGCAUGUUCUUUAGUGAAACAGGGGAAACUCCAAAUAUAUGUAAUCAUUCCUACCAAAAUUCCAUGUUAUCUGUCACAUAUCGAUCAUACAUUAACUAUUACAGUUCCCUCAUAAAAAAAUUGACACUAAUUUUGGGUAAUUUGUAUAACAUUUGACAUGUUUAGGUACCAAAUUGAACAAAAAAGAUUAGGUACUGAAUUAAGAAAACGUGUCAAUUUAAAGUACCAAAUUGGAAGAAAAAAAUGCCAAAUUAGUCACUAUAUAUAUAUAUUUUUUGUUUUGAGCAAUUUAAUUUUUUUCUUUUAUGUUCUUUUAACUUUACUUUUUUUCUUUAUUUUCUAUUAUCUUUUGUUUCUCCGUCUGUUUUCCUCCUUUCUCCAUUUCUUUUAACGUAGUUUUUCUAUAUUUUCUAUUUGUUAAAAUUAGUCAUUAUACUUUUUUUAUCAAUUUAAUUUUUUCGAGUGAGGCGAGUUUGUGAAUUAGUUUUAACAAAUGGAAAAUAUAGAAAAACUAUAUUAAAAGAAAUGAAGGAAAACAAAGGAGACAUAGAAGAGAAUGGAAAAUAAAGAAAAAAAAUGAAAGUUAAAAGAACAUAAAAAAAAUUAAAUUGCUCAAAAUGAAAAAAUAUAUGUACCAAUGUAGAAUUUAACCUAAUUUUUUUUUUGAAAUGAUGAUUUAACGUUAUCGUUACACCGUUAAUGACAAUUAAUAACUGAAUGACUAAAAUGUUACAAUACAAUAACAUAAGUGGCUAAAAUGUAAUAUUUCAAAUAUAAGUGACUAAAAUGUAAUAUGAGGCAAAUAAAAAUGACUAUUUUGAUAGUUUAUCCUAAAUUAUAUAGGAAAAAAUUUAAUGGUUAAUAUGAAAAAGACUAAUGUGUCCUUCAAAAAUUAAGAUAAAUACAUAUGACUGGAAAUGUAACUAAUAAAUUUUUAGGUAAAUAAUUUUCUUAUAAUGUCAUUAUAAUAUAUUUUACUCUCUUUUUUUCUCAGACAUGUUUUACUUAAUUGUGUUUUAUUUUUUUUGUACAUGAACAAAUAAUAAGUUGUUCCAACCUGUCUUACUACGUCCCCGUACACGCUACAUCCUGGUAUGGGGGCCUCUAGCAUCGUAAGAGUAGCAUCCCCUGCACGAAACGACUUCGCAACAAAAUCAGCAGCUCUAUUGCUCUCUCUAUCGACAUGUACCAUAGCAGCCCCUGUCAUAACAACUGCUCAGUGUUCCCUAAUAUGCAUCAACGUACUGCAGGUAAGACACAUCAGCGGCCUCCUCGUUGAUCGCCUGUGUCGCUUCAAGGUUGUCGCUCUCUUAAAUUACCUAUCGAUACCUUCUGCCCCAAGCAGCCCUUAAGCCUUCAAGAAUGGCUCGCAAUUCAGCAAAUGGUACAGGGACUACUCCAAUACGCCUCCCAAAUCCGCAAAGCCACAUCCCUUGAGAAUCUCAGGUUAAGCCCCCCACAGUAGCUUCAUCAGAGCCCAUGUCAACAGCAGCAUCAACAUUCACCGUUACCCAUUAAUUCGGUGGCAUGCACCACCCCUUGCCACCUUUAACGGCCUGCACGAUCCUCACCUGCGCUAUAGCUUUUUCAUACCUUUGCGCUUCAACCCAACAACGCCUGCACGAUCCUUCCUGGUGUAGUUCUAAAUCAAAUAUCAAACUAUUAUUGUUUCUAGAGAUUGCAUUGAAACAAACUACUCUUUUUGUGUAUCUCGUGUUCCAGUCCAAACUUAUUGAUCUACCUUUAAGCUAAAGUUGAACAAGAAUUUAGAUAAAUAUUAACCUUAACAUUCCCCUCGAUAAGACAAGUCGAGAGCAAAGGAGCAAACAUCUUAAUUUCUAUACCAUUCUUAAGGAGUGAUUUUCAUUUGAUGGGUAUAAUAAGUAUCAAUAAUACACUUUCGUUACCAUGUUAUAUACAUUCACUUUUUGCUUGAUGAUGAGUGGUAUAGAAUCAUAACAUCCUCUCUACUUGAGUAUAAUCAAGAGCAAAAUCAAAAGACUUCUUUAUCAAAUUUCAUUUUUUUUUACUUAGAAAUACACAUAUUUUUGCAAUUUCAUUCAUUAUAAAAUUCAUUAUAAUAGUAAUAAAAUAAAAAUUAUUACACCAAAUUAAGAGACUUCAUUGUCAAAUUUUAAUUUUUAUAUUUAUGAAUACACAUUUCUGAAAUUUCACUCAUUACAAAAUUCAUUAUAAUAUUAAUAGAAUAAAAAUUAUUAGACCAAACCAAGAGACUUCAUUGUCAAAAUCUAAUAUUUUUACUUAUCAACUCAAUUAACUUUAUUAAAGAUAUUGAUGAUGACUUGCCAAAUUAAACAAUGUUUUCCUUCACCAGCUACAAGCCUCAAAAGAAAACUAAUUGAUUUGCUAACAUUUUAUUUCCCCUAUUGCGAGAAGGAAACACUAAAAGGAUUAAUACAAUUUUUGUACAAUAAAUGUUUUAUAAAAUACAAAAGGCAUCAUAUAUGUAGGGAAUUAACCCGUGUUAUGCAACGGACAAGUAAAUAAACUAAAAUCAAGAUCGAACAUGAAAACUUUACGUGAAAAAAUUCUUCAAAAUAAGAUAAAAAAUCACGGGUAAAUGGAUAUUUCAUUAUAAUAAAGGAGAGUAAAAAAGAUGGAGAAAAUUAAAGAAAAACCCAAAUCCCCAAAAGAAUAAACCUUUCGAAACAAAUAAUAGAAUUUUCUCAAUCUAAAUAUUUUUGUUGUUUUUAAACCUAAAGUGACUAAGGCCUAUUUGUAGGCUGAAAUUCGUAGCAUAUAUGACUACAACAACCCUAGGUUAAUCAGAGUUUAACUAGGAGAAGAAAGCCGAAAAACUUGAAGUACACGUUGCCACGUCACAACGUGGCAUCACGUCGUCGGGACGAAGAAAGAUCGCGUCAUCAGGACGAGGGCUUUCUUCUUGUCGUGACGUUGGCUGCUCAUUGGGACGAAGAACACUUUCUUGUUGCGACGUCACACACUGUUUGGUCAAAAAUGCGAGGCAUAACUCCACAAAUCUCCACAUUAACUCGUAUUUGGCUUAACUCCCUUGCUAAGCCCUAUUAGGAGCCUAUCGUCGGAUACUUACCAAGUCCAAGCUCGAACUUUGAAACUGGAAGACUUUUUGUCAACAUGUCGGCCAGAUUGUACUCUGUGUCGAAUUUAAGAAUAUGAACAUCCCCUUGAAUGACCACCUCUCAAACAAAGUGAUAACAAAUAUCUAUAUGCUUCGUUUCUUCGUGAUACAUUUGAUCUUUAGUGAGAUGUAUGGCACUUUGGCUAUCACAAUAAAUGAAAGAUGCCUUCUUUUCACUUACUCGUUCAUUGAACAAGCUCUUUAACCAAAUUGCUUCUUUUACAGUUUCAAUAAUUGCCAAGUAUUCCACUUCAGUAGUCGACAAAGCCACUAUAGCUUGAAGUGUAGCUUUCCAACUAAUGGCACAAUUCCAAAAGCAAAUAGAUAACCUGGGAGAGACCUUCUUCGAUCUAAGUCUCAUGCAUAAUUAAAACCAACAUAUCUGACUAAGCCCUUUGGGCUUCUUCUAAACUUUAAACUCAUGUUGGAGUAACCUGCAAAUAUUUACAAAUCCACUUAAUUGCAUGCUAGUGUAACUUACCAGGAUUGAUCAUGUAUCGACUAACAACACUAAUAGCAUGCGAAAUAUCGAGACGACUGCAUACCAUUGCAUAUAUCAAAUUUCCAACCGUGUUUGAGUAUAAUACUUUUGACAUGUACCUUUCAUCUUCUUCAUUCUAUAGGGAAUUCAAAAUUGAGAGUUUAAGUGUACAGCUAAAGGAGUACAUGUCAGUUUUAAAUCUUUCAUCUCAAAUUGCUCAAGCAUCUUUAUGAUGUACCUUUGUUAUGAUAAAAAUAAUUUCCCUAAAUGUCUGUCUCUCGAAAUUUUCAUCCCUAAAUUUUUUUUCUGCUCCUAAAUCAUUUAUCUCGAACUUAUAGGUAAACAUGGUUUUAAGACGAUCAAUUUCAAAUGGAUUCUUAGCCGUAAUCAAUAUAUCAUCAACAUAAAGCAACAAAUAUAUAUAUAAAAAAAAAACUAUCAUUAAGACAUUGUAGGUGAACACAACUGUUGUAUUUUCUUUGAGGAAAACCAAUACUCAAACAUGAAAGAGUCAAACUUUUUAUACCACUGCCUAUGAGACUAAUUCAGACCGUACAAAGACUUUUGUAAGAGACAAAUAUAAUCUUCUUUACCUUCAAAUUUGAAGCCUUCUAGUUGUUACAUAUAGAUAUCCUCCUUAAGGUCACCGUAAAGGAAAGCAGUCUUCAAAUGUAACUACUCUAAUUCAAGAUUUUUUGAUGUCACAAGAGCCAAAAGGGCCCGAGUAGACAUAUAUUUCACAACGGGAGACAAAACAUUAUGAAAAUCAACUCCUUCCACUUGAUUGUUGUGACAGCCCUAAUUUGACCCUAGUCGGAAUGUGGUUUCAGGACCACAAAACCGAGUCAUAAAAAUUUAUUUUUUUAUUUAAUUGCAUAUAUUUUAUAUGCUUAAUGACUGAAUUAAUAUGUUUGAAAAUUUGGUAUUUUAAUUUUGUCUUUUGGACGUAAAAUUAGCUAAAAAAGACUUUUUUUGAGAACUUUAAAAAUGUGGUAGGUAAAUGUCUAGGGAUUAAUUUGUUGAAUUACUAAAAGGGUGGAUUUGCAUGUCUAUUUUACCUUUUUAAAUUAUGGGUACGAUAAUGGGGUUGGCAUACAAUAAUUAUAUGCUUUUUAUAAUAAUAGAUUAUAUAAUUGAAAUAUGUUAUAAUAUAAAAUAAGUUAUAAUAUAUUAAGUGGGGGUGAUAAAAACAAGGAAAUAGAAUGUUUCUCUUCCAUCCUCAUUGCCGAAAACAUAAAGGAAAGAAGAAGGAAAAUGUCAAGGGCAUUCGGCCAUCUUAAGGGUUAAUUAAGGUAGGAUUUUAUGUUAUUUUUAUUAAAUUUUAUGAAAAUUGAGUUAGUAAUCAAGCUCUUAUUAUAACCCAUAUGUGAUUUUUUUUUGAAUUGGUGACAAAAUGUGCAUUCGGUUAUAAUGGAUAAAUGCUAAGAAGAUAGUGUUUUUAUGUUUUGGAUAGAAAUAUUAGAAAGGUGAAAAUGAGCUAGCUAAAUAGAUAUUGGUGAACUUAAAUGAUGGUAUGAACAAAUGUGGAGCUUUUGAUAGUUUUUAGAAGUAUUCGGUCAAGGUGGUUAUGUGUUGAAACUUUGUGUUAAAUGACAAAGUGAUGUGCAAUUGUUAUUUUGGUAGUAAUAAUGCCGAAAGUGAAAAGAUUGUUAAGGAAUUAUGGUUUAAAUGUUUAGUGAAGAUGAUAUUCGGCUUGUUAGUAUGUGAAUAAAUUAUUUAAAGUAUAAACUUUAUAUGUAUGCUAAAAAUUUAUAUGCAUUCGGCCUUGAGACAUUAGAUAAACUUUAGUUGAAGAUUCAAUGUCUUGAACAACGAUGGUUAUAAGAUGAAAUGGAAAUUAUUAAAUUUAUAUAUAUAUGUUAGUAAUUAGCAAGGAGUAGUUACCGUAUGUACAUAUAUAUAAAUAUAGGUGUUUUAUUGAAAUAUUGAUUGGGUUAUGGAUAGUAAUGUGGUAUUAGGUGAACAAUAGCCGAAUGGCUUAAAAGCUUAAGGUGAAAAAAAUCAAAUUUUAGCCGUGUGAUUCUCGUGAUAUGAAAUCAUUAAUAUUAUGGGAUAUAACUAACUAGCAAUGUAAUUAAAUUAGUUAAUUUAUUUAUUUUAGCUCAAGAACCCAAAUGAGGGGAAUCAAGCAAGGGCAAAGCAAAGAAUAUCGAGUAGCCGAUUGCAACCGUUUCAUCUAAAACGAUGUAAGUCUAUAAGCAAUUAAACUUGGUUAUUUUAUGCAUAAUUGGUGUAUGCAUAUCGUGAAAGAAUUGCUCUCGUUUAUGUAUUCUUUUGAUUGAAAGGCAUUGACCGAUUAUACUUAGUUAAUUGAAUAAAUCACUUGUUUAAACGAAAUGAUUUUGGCACUAUGUGUGCGAAUUUGAAUGGCACUAUGUGUGCGGAUUUGUAUGGCACUAUGUGUGCGGAUUAGAAUGUCAAUAUGUAUGUGAAUUACUAAGGCACUAUGUGUGCGGGUUAACAUGGUACUAUGGAUAUGAAUUUCCUUGCUUGAGCACUACGUGCGCGAAAAUGGUUGUUGUAUGUAGAUAGCAUGCAUGCUAAUAAUGUUUUUAUUUUCUACUUAAUACCUUAUUGAUUAUGAGUUAACAUGAAUAUUUAGUUGAACAUAUACCUUGAAUUAUGUUCAAAAAUUUUAAUUGAUUAGUUGUACUCUUCUUUUUACUUUUGAAUAUUCGAAAUAUUGAAGGUGAAAGGCUGGAAAAUUUCAAGUUGAAAUGUUAUCCAAAUGCUGGAAAUUUAGCAUGCAUAUUCUUUUAUUUAAAUGCUUUGACCGAAUAUUGGAAGUUAACUUGCAUGCUGUCUGGUUACUGCAUGAGGGAGUUAAAAUUGAACUUAAGAUAGUUUAUUACUAAUUAAUUUGCUGCUGUAAUGCUGUAAAUUAUUGGCUGUCCAAAUUAGGACAAAUUUAUGGUACUUAGUUAAUUAAUAUGCUGCUGUAAUACUUAAAUUAUUGGCUGUCCAAAUUAGGACAAAAUCAUGGUGUUAUGCGCUAGCAUGAUAUGUAUGACUUUUGAACCGAAAUGUAAAUGACGGUGUUCAUAUGGAGCUUAUAUCCGAAUGUAGCAAAUGACUACUAAUGUGAUAUGUUGAAUGAGAUGUGUUAAUAUAUGAUUAAAUAUGCAUGAUAUUUGAUGUAUAUCCGGACUUAAGGUCCGCAGGCUUUGUGCUGGAAUUGUAUCCGAACUUAAGGUCUGCAGGCUUCCUGCUGGAAUUGUAUCCGGGCUUAAAGACCCGCAGGCUUCGUGCUGGAAUUGUAUCCGGACUUAAGAUCCGCAGGCUUCGUGCUGGUACUAUAUCCGGACUUAAAGUCCGCAGGCUUCGUACUGGUACUAUAUCUGGGCUUAAAGUCCCGUAGGCUUUGUGUUGGUGAUUGAAUUCGGGGUUUAAACCUAGCAGGCUUAACGCCGAUGAUUCGAAUAAGAUUAUGAAUUUGAAUGUUCGAGGUAAACUACUACUGAUUAUGUAUGUUACAUUAUGAGGGCCAGGUACGUAUUAUGUACUCCUAUGCGAUUUUGAUUUGGAUUGAAUUAUAAGUGUAUAAAGUGAUGCAUAUGUGAAUAAGUGUUACAACUAUAAAUGUGAUCGUGAUACAUUCGGUAAAUCUGUGAAGUUAUGUGGAAGUAUAUGAUUGUUAUAUGUGAUUAUGAUCAUGGAAAAUUAAAUGUGGAUAUGAUAUUGUAUUUUGUUCGUUUUGAUUGAAUUAAAGUUAAUAGUGAAGCAUUUUAAAUGCCUAUGUUAUAUAAGUUCAAUCUUGAAUGACAUGAUAUACAUGUUUAAAUAAUAUGAAAGCAAAGAAUGUGUGAAAGAGUAGAUUGUAAUAAAUCUGCUUGGGACAGCAGCAGUAACAUGAUUUUUGGAAAAUUUCCAUAAAUAGUGGGAGUUGAGUUAGAGGCUAAAUAAAUUAUGUAAUGAAAGCUUAAUGAGUCUAGUUUCUUAUAAAAGAAACUGUGUAAGCAAAAUAAUUGCCGAUAAUGAGAUAUUUGAAGUGGCAUGGGACAGAGUCAAAAUGACUUCGAGGUCCCCUGUUCUAUAUUUAGAAAAUCAUUGUAAAUUUUACAAUGAUGGUUAUAAAAUAAAAUUUAUAUUAUUAGACUCCUUAAUGAGUCUAGUUUCAAAUGAAAUAAACGAGAACAUGUUUUGAAUUCUGUACAAUGAGAAAUCUGAUUCAAAAUGAAGAAUGGUCAGAAUAGUAAAACAGUGAAACAAGAGAAACUUUAAGAAAAAUCUGGUAUUGAUUGGUCAAUCCAAAAAUUCUGAAAAUUUUAUGGACAGAAGAUAUAUGAGUCUAUUUUCAGGUAAAAUUAACAGAAAUUGAUUUUAAGUUUCGUAGCUCCAGUUAUAAAUAAUUUAGUGACUGUUGCUAAGGAAGACAGCUUGUCAUGAAAUUGAGUAUAUAUUGUAAACAUUGAUUAAACAUGUAAAUGAGCUGCUAAUUGUUUUCUUACGAACUUACUAAGCGUAAAGCUUACCCCCUUCUUUCCCAUGUUCUCUAGGAUUGCUAGGUUUGCUCGGGUUGGAAUUCGCCGGAGAUAUUAUCACACUGUCGAGCCUCGAACCCUGUUCCGGUGAGGGAUACGGGCGAGGGGUGUUACAAUUGUAGCCAUUUGCAACCAAUAUUGCAUUAUACCUAGUGCCUUUAGAACCCAAACAUUCCUUAAAAACACCCAAUUGCAACCAACGAUUCUUUUACCGAUGGGUGGUUUAACUAGCCGUCAAUCUCGUUCUUUUGAAGGAAUUUCAUAUCUUCUUCCAUUGCAACAAGCCAUUUGCUAGAAUCAGAAGCCUGAACUGCCUCAUAAUAACAUGAAGAAUCAGUUGAAUCAAUGCUCUCAGCAACACUUAGAGUAUAAGCCACUAGGUUUCUUUCAAAAUAUCUCUGUGGUUAUUGAAUUUCUCACAUUUUUCUGCAAACUUAUAGUUAGUUAACUAAGAUGGGGAGGGUACCUAUGAGUCACAUGAAGUCCCAAGUUUAUCUAAAACAACUUUAAUUUCGUAAGAACUGAGAUUUCUUCGUAUUGUCGCAAUGUCGCUUGCUUUCUCGGCAGGAUGACGAUCUUGUUCGUCGUAACGUUACAAUGAAUAUUUUUAUACUUUUGCAAUGUCACCCCCUGUUUUGGCUUUUGACUCCACCUUGCUUGAGACACAUUGAUUUGUUGUGUCUUUAAAACUAAAUGACUCAUUUUCUAAUCGAAACAUGGUAGAUUCAUUAAAUGUAACAACUCUGUUAACAAUUGUUUUAUUAAAUUCUGAACACCAUAACUUAAAACCUUUUGUAUCGACAGAGUAUCCCAGAAAGAUGCAUUUAAUGACCCUUAGUUCAAGCUUUCGCUGCUAGCUUUAGCAUAAGUAGGACAAUAAAAAAUUUUAAAGUUAGAAUAACUGAGAGGAUUAUCUGACCAUAUCUUCUCUAAAACUUUAUCAUUCAAUGCUCGAUAAGGAGAUCGGUUCACCGAAUGACUUCCCAAGUUUAAGGCUUCGUCCCAAAAACUCCUUCUUAAAACAUGCAUUUGAAAGCAUGUAUCAGGCCUUUUCGAGUAAGGCUCUGUUCAUUCUUUCAGCAACUCCAUUCUGCUGCAGAGUUCCAACUACGAUUCGAUGUCUUUCAAUUCCUUCCUAUUUGUAGAAAUUGUUAAAUUUUGAAGAAUAGAACUUAAGGCCAUUAUUCGUUCUCAACCGCUUCACGAAUUUACGAGUUUGUUUUUCUAAAAGUUUUUUCCACUGUUUGAAUAUUUCGAAGACUUCGUUAUUCUGCUUUAAGAAAUAAACUCAAACUUUUCUAAAUUGAUCAUUAAUAAGAGUUAGGAAGUAUUUAUAACCUCCAUUUGAGAUGACAGGAGACGAACCCUAUAAAUGUUUGUGUAUUACUAAAUCGAAGCUAAAUCAAAUUUGCUUCCUAAAAAUACAACGCUCGUAGAAACCUAACUUUCCAACUCCAGUGUCUUUGAGAAGACCUUUAUUGCACAAAACUAUCACACCUUUCUCAUUCAUAUAACCCAAUCGCAUGUGCCAAAGUUUGACUGAUUCAAAAUCGGUGGAGAAACAAUCAUGUCCCAUUGUCAUGACGUCAUGUUGGUUCUCAUUGCGACGCAGCAACUAUUUCAAAUCUUCUUCAGAAAUUGCUACCGACCAGUAACUAUUGACCUUUGUAGAAUGUAUAGGCUACCUUGUUUUGUCCUCUCACUAAAUGAGAGCUCCAUGAGAGGCUUUUAAAUCUUUUGAUUCAAUAACUAUCUUGCAACCGUUAGAAUCCAAAAUUCCCAAUGAGAUGAUAUUUUUUUUAAUUCGGGUUCAUACUUGACAUCUAAAAGUAUUCAAAUAAUUUUGUCUCGUAUCCUAAUUUUUACAGUUCCUAUGUCGAUUAUCUCACAUGGAGAAUUAUUCUCCAUUAACACAACUCCACCUUCAACUGAAAUAUACGUGCAGAAUUAGUCCUUAUUGGGACAUAUGUGAUAGGAGCACCCUGAAUCUAAGAUCCAUUUGGAAGUAAGCUUGAAGCUUUCGCUUGUUGACACUAAUAAGAAAUCAUCAUCUCUUUCUCCGAUCAUACUAGCAUUAGCAACAUCUGCUUUACCUUUCUCGUCGUUUUUGGCAUCCCUCUUAAUUUUAUUUUGAAGUUUCUAGCAUUCUACCUUAACGUAACCCAUCUUUUUGCAAUAGCCAUCGUAUUUCUCACGAUUCCUAGAUUUGGAUCUCACUUUAGACCUGUUCUAAUAUGAAUUUUUGGAAUGUUAUCAGCCUCUUGAACAUUCUAAACGUGUAGAAACGUUUUUUUAACACUAACCUAUUGGCUAAGGAUUUCAUCGUGUACAAGGCUUCCAGUUUCUUCCAUAAUUUAAUCGUUGUUUUCUCCUUCAAAACCUCUUGUAACACAUUAUUAGUUAAACAUAAUUGAAUUACGGAUAGAGUCUUUUUUUCUAACCUAUCACAUUCUACACAUUAUUAGAGUCUUUCACUCGUUGACACCAAUAAGAAAUCAUCAUCUCUUUCUCCGACCAUACUGGUAUUAGCAACAUCUGCUUUAUCUUUCUCGUCAUUUUCGGCAUCCCUCUUAAUUUUAUUUUGAAGUUUCUAGCAUUCUACUUUAACGUGACCCAUCUUUUUGCAAUAGCCACAGUAUUUAUCAUGAUUCCUAGAUUUGGAUCUCGCUUUAGACCUGUUCUAACAUGAAUUUUUGGAUUUUUGUCAGUCUCUUGAACAUUCUGAACUUGUCGAAACGUUAUUUUAACACUAACCUGUUGGCUAAGGAUUUCAUCAUGUACAAGGCUUCUAGUUUCUUCCAUAAUUUAAUCGUUGUUUUCUCCUUCAAAAUCUCUUGUAACACAUUAUUAGUUAAACAUAAUUGAAUUGUGGAUAGAGUCUUUUUUUUCUAACCUAUCCCAUUCUGACUGUUCCAUGUCUACAGGUUUUCUUUCUACAAGGAUCCUCUCAAGAUCACUCUGGAUCAAUAUUACUGACAUUAAAACUUGCCACAGACUAAAAUUUGCGAUGCUGUCGAACUUGUCAAUAUCAAACCUUGAUGUUUCCAUCUUUAGACGGGUUGAUUGCGGAGAUCAAACUAGCUAUGAUACCAGUUUGUAAGGAAUUAACAUGUUUUAUGCAAUGAACAAGUAAAUAAACUACAACUGAGAAGAUCGAACACAUAAAUUUUACAUGAAAUCCUCAAAAGAGGAUAAAAAAACAUGAGCAAAACAAGAUUUCACUAUAAUAAAGGAGAGUACAAAAGAUGGAGAGAAUUAAAGGAAAACGAGAAUCCCCAAAAGAAUAAACCCUUCGAAACAAAGAACAAAAUUCUCUCAAUCUAAAUAUUUCUGUUGUUUUUAAACCUAGAGUGACUAAGGCCUAUGUAUAGGCUGAAAUUUGUAGCAUAUAUGACAACAAUAACAACUCUAGUUUAAUCAGAGUUUAAGUGAGAAACAAAAAACAUAGUUUAAUUGGGAGAAAAAAGUCAGAAAACUUGGAGUACACUUUGCCACGUUGUGACGAAGAAGGAUCGUGUUGUCGGGACGAGGGCUUUCUUCCUGUCGUGGUGAAGAACACUUUCUUAUUGCGAUGUCACACAUUGUUUGGUCGAAAAUGGGAGGCAUAACCCACAAUAUAUAAUAGGCUUAAAUUAACCAAAAUACAUGUAUAAAUACAUUUAAAAUCGUGUGAUUCAUCUAUCUAUUUUUUUUUGUUUCUUUUCUUUUUAAAUUUAGUUGAGGUUUCAUUGAAACCAAUUUAUUAAGAAAACUAAUGCAUAAAAGAACAAAGUGAAAAGCGAAAAACCAUAAAAAACCACCAUUAAUGUAUCAACUUGAGAAGAACCCACCAUUGAUUUUUAUUUCUUCUUCUUUUUCUUACCAUGUUCUUCGCUUAUAAUCCUUAAAUACACACAAAUUAUAAGUAUUUAUAUAUCCAAAAAAACUUGAAACUGAAAUUGCAAUAACUUAAUUUUUUUUUUUUUUGCAAUGAUAAGUUUUUGUACCUCAAAAACAUGGAAAAAAUAAAAUAAAAAAUAAUAAUUAGUGCAUGUAUUUAUAGUAGUAAUUACGAAAUUAAUAAUAUUAGUAUCAUGUACUAAAACGUAAAGCAUACAUUUGAAAUAUUUUGUUAUAAAAUUCUAAAUUUUAAAAUUUUUAAAUAACAUUUUUAAAAAAAAUUGAGAAAUAAAUAUUUUUCAUAGAUUAAAAGCAGUGUAAUGUUAGAAUUGUAAAUAUCAAUUAUAACUCUAUUAAAUUUAAUAACGAAGCUCUAGAGUAUAAAUUUUUUAAAGGAAGGUUGCUAUGUUUUUAAAAAGAAUGAGAGAAUAAGGAAAGGUAAUAAGUUUAAUAUAUAAAAAGUAAAUGACAAUUGUAACCCUAAUAAUUCCUAAUAGUGUUUAAAGAAGUUGGUUUUAUAUAGAAUAUAGAUUAAAUCUUUUAAUGAGUUUAGUGUCACGAGUCAAACGGGCAACAAUUUAGUUAGGUAAUGAUAAAAAUACUAACUUUACAAAAGAAACUAUAUUAUUUUGAGGAUGUUUUGCCAAUUUAUCUUUAUUAAUAUUAAAUUAUUUAUUAUGUUUGGUUUCACGACUCAACCAGUUACCAACUCAAUUGGAUAAUGACAAAAAUAGUCUUACUUUACAAAAGAAAUCAUAUUAUUUUGAGAGUAUUUUUUUUUUUUGAUUUUAUAUCUUUUAUAUAGAAAUAUAAAUAUAAAUACACAUAAUAAAAUUUAAACUCAUGCCUCUAUAGUUUUUGCCAUUCAACCAAAACCUCAUUCAUUAUUUAUAUUAAUUUGUAAUAAAAAUAUUUAUAUUAAUUAAGGUUAGAGAUUUAAAACUUUUGCUUCAACAGAAAAUUAAGAAGAUAAAAAGAGGCAAAGGAAAAUUAAAUUUUGUCAUUUGAAAUCUAAAGGGAAUUGUACCACUCACUUCUUUUUUAGGAAAAGUCUACAAAAUAAACUUUGUGUUGUAUACUGCAAAUGAAAUAUGAAAUCUCAUAGAAUUUUGUUUUUCAUCUUCUCUUUUCCUUUCUUAUCUCCCAAAGUGUAAAAGUUCAAAGUAAUUCAUGGGAAGAAAUUAAAAAAUAUAUAUAUAUUUAUGUGAAUUGCGAAUUAGUUGUCUCUACGCAAAAAAAAAAAAAAUCUUUGUUAAUCUUUACUAAUAUAUAUUUAUUGAUUAUGUUUAGUGCGGUGAGUCAAAUAAUGCAAACUCAAUUAACAAUUAACAAAAAAUCAUUUCUACUCAUUUGUUGAUUAUGUUUGAUGUCAUUCAAAUUUCUUUCUUUCUAGCCUUACAUUAUCCUUUUCGAUUCUAAUUAUUUUUGGUAUUUUAUGUUCAAAUUAUUUAUUUUAAUUUAUUUCGAGUUUGUGUUAUGUUAGAAGCUUUUUAAGUUAGAAUAUUUUGAUAAUUAAUCGAUUGGUUCAAUUUUUAAUAAAUAAAUGUAAAAAUAGAUUUUUCAUAAAAUUUAUUCACUUGCUAAUUUUUCACAUUCAAAUAUAUCCAUUUUCCUAAGAUAAAAAGACUAUUUAUCAAAAUAUUUGGGAAACAAGGCACUAAAAUGUGGAGCCUAUGGAGGUUACAAACUUACAUAUGGUGGACUACACAAAUGUUGUGGAUCGGAUUGUUUAUUAACACAACAUGAUAAUAAUUGGGUAAAGAACGUGUUUUAAGUGAAUUUUGUUCAUUAGUUUAAUUAUUCCUUCUUUGGUAGCCACCAUUGUUUGGUCAUUAAUGAGUCUUACGAAAUAUGCUACAACAUCACUCAUAUUCACUAAACACAGAAGAUCAUCUAUAACAUGAUUUGAACACCCUGUAUCAAUAAUCCAAUUAUUUUUGGACUUACCAUUCAACUGAGUGGAAUUUGAUUGUUUUUUACUGAACACCGCCAGAAGAGACUAUCAUUGCUCAACGGUAAAACCAAGAAGUAUCGCCCCCUAACACUUGCAUUGCCCCUGUUGUGUUCUGCGCUAGUGUUGCUCCAUGGUUGGUAUCUAUGGCAGUAGCAUUGGCUCACACACUGCCUUUGCCAUGAGAAACUUGCUGCGUAGAAGAUGCAACACCUGUCUUGCCACCGCGACCAUCACUUUUCAUCUUCGGCUUCCCAUACUUCUCAAGCAACCAAUCUAGGUAGCCACCUCAUGCCCCUUACGAUGGCAAUGAAUGCAUAACAAGGUGAAUUUAUCAAUACGAUCAACUCGGCCUUUGUUACGACCCUUCGUGCUUAUCACAAAGCCCAUAAUUUUGGUCUUCUCUUCCUUGACCUAUUUUUUUUUUAUGUACUGGUUCCUCCUGAAUAACUUUCUAGAAUGCUCGAUUCAAGAAAGGCAAAGGAUCUUGGUAAAGUAGUGUAGACCUAAUUUGGGCAUAAUAAUCAGAAUAGAGACCAAGAAGAAAUUGAUGAAGUCGAUCAUGCUCACUACGUUUUUCAGGUGCCUUCCCUAAGUUACAUAAACAUUGUCCACACUUGCAACAAAUCAAAGAUUCAUGAUUAUCUAAUUCAUCCCACAAAACCUUUAAUUUACUAAAAUAAGUUGGAACACUCAUAGUAUUGGUUUGCUCACAACGACUAAUAUGCUUUUAAUUGUUGAAUACGUGGAUCGUUGACAAUAGAAAAAUGUUCAUGUAAAUCAUCCCACAAAGUUUUUGCAUUAUCAUAAUUGGAAAGUAUCAAUCUUACCUCCGGAUAGAUAGUAUUGAGAAUCCAGGACACAAGCAUACAAUGGAUGGUAACCUAAUCAUCCUUUGAGCAAGAGGGAACAAAAUCUGUAAUGGUACUAUUAAAGAAAUUCAAAUUUGCUCCAAGAAGAUAGAGCAGCAUGAAUAGCAUAAAUUCAAUCAUCGAAAUUGUCGAGUUUUAAUCGAAUAGGAGUAAUAAAGUCACCGAGUCGAUCUUGAGGACUCAAGAAAAAUGGAGAGUUAAGUUCAAUUUUAGGUGGUGGUGGUGGAGGAGGAGAAGAAGUGUUGCCGCCAGCCAUUUAGAAUAAUGAAAGAGAAAAAAAAAUUGUGUCAAAAACCUUACUCAAAUGCCAUGACAAGAAUAGGGUAAUCUAUUGAAUUUUAUUGAUAGACCUUAAUGGUAUAUAUAUACAGUAGUAAUUUCAUAGGAAUCAAAUUGCUAAAAUAUAAUAUCUCAUAAUAAUAUCAUAAAACAACAACUAAAUUAAAAUUAAGAAUACAAAUAAAUGUCUCUUCUCUACUCUUCGAUGGUUAAGUAUUUCUCAUUUAACUUAAACAAGGUUCGAGAGUUGGUAUACAAAGCAAAUAAAAAAACAAAUAAAGAAUGAGAAUGAAAUGAUACGUUGAAAUUAAAGCAAAUAUUUUAUUUAUAAGAAAUAACUUAUGCGAGAAUUGGUUCAUGAAAUGUAAGAACAUAUAAUAUUAUCAUAAAUGCAUUAUAUUAUACGAAGCAAAACUAGCUUGAGAGGUUGAGGUUUCAAGAAUAUAGGAGACGAUUCUUUUUGUUAAUAAUCUUCCAAAGAAAAAAUAUUAGCUUUGUCUGUAGUUUCAAUACCAUGGUAGGGUGGUUGACGUCUUCAUGGAUGUGCAACGAGCCAUGAACAGGUUAAAUGUUUGAGAACCGAAUUAGUGUUUCAUUGGCGUGAUUAAAUGGAAUAACAUCUUAUUGGAAGAGAGUAUAUUUCUAAAACCUAAAAAAUCAAGAGAGGCAAGAGGAAAUGGGAACUCAAUAUAGGAGAUGUGUGGCCAUACCAAUAGGGUGAAAAAAGAAAUGGAAGUGUUUUUACUAGAAAUGAAGAGAUAACGAAGUUGCAUGAAACAACAACAAACGUAGUGUAACAUUACAAAAAUUUCUGUAUAACACUUAUUAUUGUUCCACGAUUGUGCUUAACUAAUUUUUGAGGAAAUAUGGAAAUAGACUAAAUAAAAAGAAUUUAUAAAGAAUUUAAUUGAUAUUGAGUUGGAAUUUGUAACGUAUUACAUCUGAUCUGAGUGACGAAUCCAGAUAGAUACAAGAUACCAAAUCAGUUGAUAAAAGUACAAAAAUGUUGAAGUUAUUGUUUUUAAAAAUAUAGAGAGAUAUUAUAUAAUUUAAACAUGUAAAAAAUAAAUUGAAUUUUUAUAGAUAUCUUAAACUAAUUAUGUAGAAAAUCAUUUUCUCAAUUAAAUUUAUCCAUUUAUUUCUGUCAAAAAAGUAAAGUACCAACUAUUAUUCUUGUAACUUCUAAUUAUUAAAAAUUAAAAAUGCUAUCCACCUUUUAUUAAAAUCUUGUUAUUAAAAUUUAUAUAUGAAAUAUUUUUUAAAUGUAAAGUUAUAUAUAAUAUAUAAUCUUUUCACUUGUGUGAUAAAUUUUAGUUACUAAUUAUGUGCUUUUUUUUUAUAAUUUUUUUUGAGAAAAACCUACUCAAGGAUCGGAUAAUUUGUCUAAGGUCAAAGGUGUGCUCGAAAUAUGAGAGAAUUCGAACAAAAGUUUAAGGGCUUAAAAAAUAGUCUUUUGCAAAAAAAAUUAGACCUGUUUAAAAUAUAAGUCAAGCUUGCGUUCAAACAUUCAAGGCUUGAGCAUGACUCAUUUUUAUACUUUGUAAUGUAAUAUGAUAUAUAUUUAUUUUUAUAUAGUAUAUAAUUUAUAUAUAACACUAUAAUGUAACCAUCAAAAGAUAUGUUAAGCUAUCUUUAUUCUAAAUUUAACAAAAGAAAUUCUUCAAAUAUAAAAAAAUUUAAAUUAAUAAAUAUUAUGUUGAAUAAAGGUAAGGGGAAAAGAAGGUUUGUUAUAAAAUGUUCCUCACAUAUCUUUCUAUUGAUGACCACGGUAUUUAUAUACAAAACAUAGCCUAGUAGAUCUGUUUUCUUAUAACCACCAUAGCUAAUUUAGAGGAAUUCAAAUAAAAAUAUGCUAAUGGAUUUUAGGAAUUCAAAUUUUAAAAAAUCAAUUAUGUAUUCUUAUCUUGCCCCUGCGAGAUGGACGAUGGUGGAGUAAGUUCGAUCUUGUUCAUGACCAUGAUGAGUUGGUGACGAGACAACGACUUGGUGAAGACAUCGACAAGCUGAUAAGAAGUAGAGACAUGGGAGACUUUGACGAGACCAUUUUAAACUUGCUCACGUAUGAAAUGAUAGUACAAGGCAAUGUGCUUUAUGCACGAGUGAAACACUAGAUUGGCACAGAGGUUUGUGGCCCUAACAUUGUCACAAUAAAUCACUGGUUAGCAAGGAAUAGUGAUGCCAAUUUCAAUUAGGAGAGAACAAAUCCAGCAUAGUUUAGUAGCCGUGGUAGAGACUGAUCGAUAUUUAGCUUCGGUUGAAGACCGGGCAACAAAUUUUUGUUUCUUGGAGCUCCAAGAUAUGGGGUUACGACUGAGAUAAACGAUGUAAGCACAGGUUGAAGUGAAAUCAUCCUUGUAGCCAGCCCAGUCAGCAUCGGAGAAUGCAUGAAGAGUAAGAGAUGAUUGACGACAAAGUGUUAGGCCAUGAUCUAAGGUACCACAGAGAUAGCUAAGUAAGCGUUUGGAAACAAUCCAAUGGUCUGUCGUUGGUUGGUGCAUGAAUUGGGAGAGCUUAUUAACCAUGUAAGUAAUAUUUGGACGAGUCAACGAGAGAUACUGGAGACUUCUAACAGUGGUUCGAUACUUUGUAGGAUCUGAUAAGGGAGUACCAGCAUACAAGGUAAGAGACGAACUCGUUGCUAGAGGUGCGGAGACUGGUUUUGCUUCAGUCAUACAAGUCUUUUGAAAGAGACCAUCAAUAUACUUUCAUUGACUAAGAAACAGACCAUCGGCAUGGGAAAGCACUCUGUUGAGAUCUCAAGUAUAAAGAAACUAAGCUAGACUAAAAAUUGAAAAACAAAGAUUAAAGAAUUUGAGAAACUGAACUGUAUUAUUUCUUGCGUACUCUUGAAUAGUACAUGUGAGAUAUAUAUAGAAGAAUGAACUAACUGCUAUCUAACAACUGCUGCUAAUAGUCUAAUAGCUUGAAUUCACCAUACUAACAAACUAACAGAUUAGAAUAACAGAGUUGUCGAAACCAUUUUGUUUGAAAAAAUCCAAGGGGUCGACUUUUUAUUUUGAAAAUGAAAAUGGGGAGUCGCUACCAAUCUUUUUUGUUUAGGUGUGAUCGAAUCACCUCGUAAUUUGAUUGUUUUAAUAAAAUGUUUUGUUUUACUAAAACAACGAUUUUGGUCUACAAAAUUUAAGAAAACGAGUUCUGGAGUCUGUUACGUACGAGGAAGGAUUAGCACCCUCAUAAUGCCCAAAAUUGGUACCUAAUUGAUUAAUUAAUGUUUUAAUGUCGAAAGUUGAAAAUUCGUAAAGAAUUUAAAAAUAAGAUCCUCCUUUUUAUUAAUGUUAAUUUUACAAAAAAUGUUUGGAUAAAUCGAAAGCAGAUACUAAAGACUUUCUUGUUCUGAAGUAAUAAAGUGCCACAUCCAAUACGUUAGAACACAACAUUUUAAAACCUCGAGAAUAAGCUUGUCCUUUUCAAAACUCAUGCGUUUUAAUUUUAAAAGGUUAUUCGGUCUUUUGAAUCAAACGAGAAAAAUCGAAACCCAGUACGCUAGGGCACGAUCUCUCAAAUUUCCAACACACAGAAUAUUGCCUUUAUUAAAGAGUCCCUUUUUCUAUGAAUUUUGGUGAAAGUUGGUGAAAUGAUAUAUGUGUAGUUUUAUUCGAGUAUGACUAAAGCGUAAAAUCUCAUAUUAGACGAACGAUAAUUUGACAUAAAUUCAACAAAUUAAUAAAGCAUGAAAAUAAUGAUAAUGGAACAUAACAAUAAUACGCAUAAUUUACAACAUUAAUAAUAAAAAUAAUGGUGAAAAUAAUAAUAAUAAUAGUAAUACAAAUACCAACAACAAAGAUAAUAAUGAUAAUAAUAAAGUAUACGAGCACAUAAAACAUAAAAAAUGAACUUUAAUUUAAAAAAAUAAAGAAAAUAAAUAGAUAAAUAAAUAAGUAAGAUAAUAAAUAAAACAAUUUAAUUGGAAAACGAAAGAAUGUAAGUAAAUAAAACAAAAGUAAUGAAAGUAAGAAAUAAUAUUAAUGAAACAAAAAAAAUAUAAUAAUAGUGACAAUAAUUUAAAAUAACUAAUUGAAAAUAUAAUAAUAGUGAUAAUAAUUUAAACUAACGAAUUUAAUAACAAAAUUACCGAAAUAACAAAAAAGGACUAUAUUAAACUUAAAACGGAGAUUUGGGGGCAAAUUCGAAACAAAUACAAAAAGAGAGGACCCAUCUGAAUGCGCGCAUAACAAGGAGGGACCAAAUUGGGGAAUAACCCCACCCUCCAAAACCCACAAUAUCAGCUGGCCAGUGGCGGACUAGAUCAAAAAAAAGAAAUGAAAUUGAAGGGCUGAAUUUGUGAAAAAAGAAAAAGGUAAAAGGGCCAGAUUGAAAACCGCCUCAAAAGCGGAAAGAUUGAGGGCGCAAAUAGACCCUCAGUCCAAAAACAUGCGGAUCCUAGGCGGGUUAGGGUCGAAUUUCGGGUCAAAGGCCCAAAACGGUGUCGUUUUGGCCUCUGAAAAUACCCAUCAAAACGGCACCGUUUGCUCCCUUUAUAAAAAGACCAAAAAAUUUUUUUACUUCAUUUCAACUGUAUUUUUUUUUUCAAAAGGAAAGGGUUUUGGCUUUCUCUGGGGGUCUUGAUUUUCGACGAUCGGACCGCCGUCCAUCCGUCACCAGCGACCGCCAUAUACGGCGGCCAAAGGUACAGAAAGACCCCUUUUUUAACCUUUCCCUUGCUCCCCUUGUUUUAUAUUUGAGCUUAAAAAAAAAGAAAACCCUUUAGAAAAUCAAAAAGAGCCAAGAGAACUCCUCGGUUCUUACUUCUCCGACUCAAAGAAAGUACGAAAAUCGUAUUUCUUUUGAAUAUAAUGUAUAUUUGUGUGUUAUAUUCGAAAAUAAAUUUGCAAAAGAAAUGAAAGAUAUAACAUAAUGAAAAAACACCUUGAUUCUUUUUUCUGUUGAAUAUUGUGUGUGUUUUCUUUUUUUUGUAUCUCAAUUUCUCUCUAUUAGUUGCCUAUUACAAAACGAUCUCUCUUGGGCUUUAUAGUCGAGAGAGAAAAAUAAAGAAAAAUACAAGUUUUUUUUAUUGCUGUUUUUUUCCUCUUUUGCAGGUAUGGAGGCGACGUGGCACUCGGCGUGGGGCGUACAGAGGCUAUGCGUGAGAGGCUGUUGGCGGCUGUACGAAGCUGAGACUGCGUAAAAGGACCCUAGGGUUCUGAAAAUUUUUUGUAUUUUGGGCCAAUAGUUAGGGUUUGUUUAGGGUUAAUUUGGGCCUUUGUUGAGUCUGUAAAGUUUGGGUUUUGGAUUUGUUCUUAUCUUUUGGGCCUGGUGUAACUGGACUUGUUUAAUGGACUGUUUUCAUUUAUUUUGGUUUUUUUGUUUUGUUUUGUUAUUUUCUAUUUAUUUUGCUUUGUCUCGGGCCUGGGCGAAAUUGGCCCAUUACAAGAGUAUUCUCUAUACUCUAACAUUCACCUAUCUUUUCUACGGGUAAGACCCGAAGAAGACUCCUAAACCUAGCAAAAGAUGAAGCAAAGAAUGAUUUGGUAAGAAUGUCAGCAACUUCAUCAUAUGUAGGUACUUCACCAACCACAACAGAACCAUUAGCGACUCGCUCGUGCACAAAAAACAAAUCAAGUUCAACAUGUUUAAAUUUAGAGUGUAUCACAGGAUUAGCAGCUACCGCAACCGCACUCGAACUAUCACACCAAAUAGUUGGGGGAUCAAUAGAUUGAAGGUGUAGUUCACUUAAUAACGAGACCAACCAAGUACCAUCGCUUGUAAUGGCAGCAAGACUUCGAUAUUUAGCUUCAACCGUGAACCUUGAGACAACUUGUUGUCUCUUAGAACACCAAGAGACAGGUGUGUGACCAAAAUACACACAGUACCCCGUUGUAGAUCGAAAAUCGUCAAAAUAUAACCCCCAGUUAGCAUCGACAUACCCAACUAAUGAAAGUUGAUCUGUCGGUCAAAAAACAAAACCAUAAUCAAGUGUACCACAUAAAUACCGCAAAAUGUGUUUUAAUGCAACUAAAUGUACAUUAGUGGGAGCAUGCAUGAACUGACAUAUACGAUUUACUGCGUAGGCGAUAUUAGGGUGAGUCAAAACAAUAUAUUGUAAUGCUCCUGCCAAACUUUUGUACUCAGUAGGAUCAAGAAGACGUUCCCCAUCAUCCUUAGAGAGAGGAGAUGAACUAAUCAUCAGAGUAUGAACACUUUUGGCAUAAGUCAUAGAGCUUCUGUCGAGUAUAUCUCGAAUGUACUUCUUUUGGUAUAAAUGAAUCUAGCCGUCAGAAGAACGUGUGUGUCGAAACCUUUUUUUUAUUUUGAAAACAAUGGGGAUCGACUUUGAAAACAAAAAUGUGGAGUCGCCACCAAUCUCUUGAUUAGGUGUGAUUGGGCCACCUACUAAAACGCUUUAUUCAUGUAAAAUCAAAAAGUGGGUUCGGGAGUCGGUUACGCAUGAGGAAGGAUUAGCACCCUCAUUACGCCUAAAAAUUGGUACCAAAUUGAUUUAAUGCUAUCCUUAUACCAAAAGGUUUUUCUUUAAAGAAAAGAUUUUUCAAAGUAUGAUUCUUUUUAAAAUGUUUGAAUAGUUCAAAUUAGUGGUCAAAAAUCUCUCGUUUCAAAGAUAUGCAGUAUCAUACCCAGCACGAUUGGAUACAAUCCUUUAUACCUUUAAAAAUACGAUUGAUUUUUUUAACUUUGAAAACUCGUACACUAAAAUUACAAAAGGUUAUCCAAAUAUUUAGUUCACCGGAAAAAUCAUACGCAGCACGAUUGAGCACGAUUUUUCGAAUUCCCAAAUAUUGGAUAUUACCUUAUUUCGAAAUUUUUGAAUAAUAAAGAAAAUUGGAAAUUCGCUUAAAACACGUUUAUUUUUUUUAAAAUAGAUGAAAUACUUAAUGCAUUGUAUCAAAAUGUUUGCGUGGGAAAAGAUUUAUGAACAUGAAUUAAUAAGAUACAACAAGUCACAAUUAACAAAUCCGCAAUUAUGAACAACUAUUCUAAGUAAAAUGUGACAAAUUUUUAAUCAUGGAUGAUGAACAAUCAAUAAAAAUGAUAUACAACAAUAAUUAACAUGUCAUAAUAUAAAAUUAUCCAUAAAAUAUGUACAAAAUGCAAUGGAAUUAGAACUUAAUAUAGUAUUUGACAUUUUAAAAUUAACGAAUUCAUUAACACAUACUAUAAGUUGACAAACUUGUAUAAAAACUAGGGAUUUACUUAAAAUAAAUAUCAUAGAAUAAAACAUUUGAAUCGAAUAAUAUGCAAAAUAUUUUAAACACAAUUUCAUUUAGAGAUUUACAAUGUGCAUGAUAACUUAAAUAAUAUAUAGAAUAUAAAAGACAAAUAACACACAUGAUAAGAUACAAUGUACAUAGCAAAUUUAUAAAACAUGUAUAUAUAAAUAAAUUUGGAAAUAGUUAUUUGUAAAAGAUAGUACGAAAUUAAUAAUGUAUAUAAAAAUAAGUAAAUAUAUAAAUUAUACAUGUAAUGAAUCUUUUUAAAAAAAAUCUAAUCAUACACACAAAAAAGGUAAAAAAAAAAUCUAUAUUUACAAAAUACAUAAAUUUAGUGAUGUAUAUUCAUAAAACUAUAUUUAUAAAGGGAAAUUUAAAACAAAUAAUAUAUUGCAUAAUUUUACAUGUAACAAAUUUGGAUUAAUGAAACAUACAUCAAUAAUACAUGUAUAAGGAUAAUAAAAUAUGAGAGUGUAUACAAUAAAUAAAUUAUAUGAUUUAAAAUAUGGUUCUUAGAAGAAAUAUAUUAUACACAUAAAUAACUUUAAAAAGGAUAUAUACAUAGAAAAAUAUUUACAUGAAGUUAUAUGAAAAUAAUAACAUGUACCAUAGUAAAAAUAAUUUAAUAUGUGUUAUAUACAUGUGAAGACUUUUUUAAAAUAAUUGAAUAUUAAAAUAAUAUGGAAUAAAAAAUAUGAAUUAUAAAAUUGACUUAAAAUUAGCAUAAAUUAUAUAUAUAUAAUAAAUAAUGUAAAAAAAACUACAAUUAUAUACAAAUUUGCUAAAAAGUAUAUGUAUAAAAUAAUAUUGCAUUGAUAAUGUAAGUGCUAAACAUAUGCUUGAUGAUAACUUAAGGAAUGCAUAAACUAUGUAGGAUUUUUCCUUAUAAUAAUAAAGGCAUAUAAUAAAAUAUGUGAAUUGAUCUAAAAGAAAUUAUAUGUAUAAAAUACUAGUAUUUAGUAAUGUAAAUAAAUUUAAUAUAUAUACCAAUGUUUUUGUAUACGUAUAGUUAGAAUUUAAAUAAUGUAGAAAACAUAUGAUUUUACUUUAAACAACAAUUACAUAUAUAACAUAAAUAGGUGAAGAAAAAAAAACAAUUAAAUGUAUAUAAUAAUACAAAUUAUAACAUUACAUAAAAUUGUAUGCAACAAGUAGAAAUACAAUUACCCAAAUUACAACAAAUAAAUAACCAAUGAUACAAGUGAUACAAUUAAUAUGAACAUUACUAAUAAUAUAAAUAAAAAAUAUAUAUACACUAAUAAAGUAACUCAAAAUGUACAAGUAAAUAAACCCAAAUUUAAAACUAUAACAUAAGCCUAACAAAUUACUUAAUGAAAAUCAAAGUAAAAAUAAUAAUUUACAAUUAAAAUAAGCUUCUAAUAAUAAAAGGAUCCACGUUUAACGUGCGUAAAUUCACAAGGACUGAGAUUGAAAUUAUCCCUGAUCCUGAAACACUGCAUUGAAACAUGGACUAAAAUGCAACAGCAAACAAAACUUUACGGAAAAUUUUAAAUAAAACAAAACCAAUAAGACGCAAAAAGGAGUUAAUCGCAAUGCAGCGCGAUUGGGAAAGGCCUGCUGCACAAAUAAUCCAUUUUAGGCGCAAAAGGGUGGAUCAGGGUCUCCAAGCGGGUUGACGUGCGGACCCCCUUCUCUGAAACGGAUCUGUUUCAACAACAGGUCAUUAAAGACCAUUCUUUCCCAAUUCCUUCCCCAAAACGCAACCCCACUUUUGGCCGAAAAUUACAGCCUAGAAAUUAAAUUUCUAGGGUUUCUUUUCUAGCAGCCGAAUCACCGUUAUUUUGGUGAUCAACAGCAUGCAAAUAGCACCCGUCCUCCCAGUUGAAGGCGCUCGAACAUGCUUAAAAAGGAUUUAGUGAGUAUAUCUUUCUCCUCUUCUUCUUUGUUUGAAUGGAGUACUCAAAUCUCAUGUUAUUUUUUAAAGAUAAAAAAUGAAAAUAGAUCCGUAGAGUAAAUAAACUUCCAUUGUUACUUGACCUCUCGCCCUUAUAUCCGCAUAGCAGAACUAUUUAGGGCUUUCAUCGGCCUUAAGUCGCAUAAAAAAAGAUGAGCAAACUAAGAAGAAAAUAAAGGAAAAAAAAUCGGAAGAGAAAAAGAAAAAUAUAAAAUCACCUCUGUUAAUUUUAUUGCUUUUGUUCUAUGCUGUAUGCUUAGUAUGCGUCUACUGUGCGUGUAAAAAAUCAAGGUACAAAUAAUGGCUUUUUAUAGCCAAAUUUACAUAAUAAAUGAAAAAUAAAAAAUAUAUUUUCCCUCUGUCAUUUGGCUGUAUAUUCUGUUGCUGCUUCUUCUCGUAUAUUCUUUUGUAGGUAUGGAGAAACGGUCGUACGGAAAAAACCGCUCGUGAAAGUCGUGCGUGAGUUCGAUUGCAGCACUGGUGUGUUCUAGAAGCCCUUAGGUUUCUGGCAUUUUCAAACAGUUGGGCCUUUUGGGCCAUUUGUGAAUUGGGCUACAGGACUGUGUAGUUUGGGUGUCUGUUCAAUUGGGUCAAAUUAUAUGUAGUUGGGUUAAGGAACUUUGGGUACUUGUUUAGGCUAGUAUUUUUGUUUGGGCUAAAUAAAUUGUAAAUGGACUUUAAAUCCAUAAACACUUUAAUUUAAUAUUUAAUUAUAUUUUUUUUGUGUUUGGAUUUUUUACCUUUUUUAGUUUUCAUCAGCCCGGGCAAAUUGGGCGUAUUACAGUGUGACUUAAAUUCCUAGAAAGUAAUGGAGAUCACCCAUAUUUUUAAUAGAGAACUCCUCAUUCAACUGUUGAACACAACCAUUUAUACAUGUAGGAUCACUGUCAGUAAUGAUAAUAUCAUCUACAUAUACCAAAACAUAAAGACUGAAGUAAGAUGUGACUUUGACAAAUAAAGACAAAUCAACUUUAGAGAGAAGGAACCCAGCAGUAAUAAGAAAUGACUUUAACUUGUCAAACCAAGCCGGCGGAGCUUGACACAGUCCAUACAAAGCCUUCUUUAGACGACAAACCAAAGGUUUACCAUUAGAGUCAUAUUGCACAUACCCUGGAGGUUGCUGCAUAAGUACUUCAUCAGUAAGAUCCCCAUUUAAAAAGGCAUUAUUUACAUCCACCUGACGAAGCUGCCAACCUUUGGAAACAACAAUAGAUAACAUUAUUCGAACAGUAGCAGGUUUUAUCACCGGACUAAAUGUUUCCCUAAAAUCACAUCUAGAAACCUGUGAACACCCUUUAGCUACUAACCGAGCUUUACAUCUUGCUACUGUACCUUUAGGAUUUUUCUUUACUUUAAAAAGCCACUAACAUCCUAUUACUCUGCGAUUCUUAAGAAAAGGAACAAGUUUUUAGGUAGAAUUAUUAAUGAAAGCAUCAUAUUUAGCUUGAGCAGCAUUACGCCAUUCAGGAGUAGAAAAUGCUUCUUCAAUCGAGAGAGGUUCAAUAGCUUCAACAGUCAUAGCCUUGGGCUUAAAAAUACCAGCCUUUGAUCGUGUAACCAUUGGAUGAGUAUUUGUUAGAUUUGUAGAAGGAGCUGCACUUCUAGAAGAAGCAAUAGAAGAAUUGUCAUUCGAACAAAAUGAAGCUUAAGGGUGGAACCUACUGUAUUCCGAGAAUUGAGAGAAUGAAAGGGACAAGACCCAAGAUGUGUUGAUAUCUCAAGAGUUUGGGCAGAGGAAGAUUCUAGAGGUCGAGAAAAAAUAGGCUUGACAAGAGGAACGGAUGUUGAAAAAAGAGAUUAAACAGAAGAUGAGAAUCCGCUAGCGUCUUUCAGAGGAAACAAAAACCUAUGUUCAUCAAAAACAACAUGAUGAGAAAUGAUGAUUUUACCAUCCGAUGUGAGACACUGAUAUCCUUUAUCUUGAGAACUAUACCCCAAAAAUGUACAAGGUUGAGAUCGAAAAUCUAACUUGUGACGCGGAAACGGACGUAGACACGAAAAGCAACAGCACCCAAAGACGCGUAAAUGAUUAUAUGUAGAAUUGUGGCCAUACAGCACCUUGAAUGGAGAUUGUCCUUUAAGAACCAAGGUAAGAAGGCAAUUGAUGAAAUGCACAGCACAACAAAACGCAUACCCCCAAUAAUCUAUAAGAAGAUUUGCUUGAGUCAAAAGCGUGAUACCCAAGUCAACAAUAUGUUAGUGUUUACGCUCAGCCACCCCGUUUUGUUCUGACGUAUGUGGACAUGAUAAGCAAUGAAUUAUCCUUUGAACUGCUAGCACAGAUGUGAAGGCGCGAAACUCUCCUCCCCAAUCACUUUGAAAAUGUUUAAUAGUUUUCCCAAACUGAGUUUUGAUUAAUUUAUGAAAUUGAACAAAGCAAUCAAUUGCCUGAGACUUUUGACGGAUAAAAUAUAUCUAGGUAAAGCCAGUACACAUGUCAAUAAACUAAACAUAAUACCAGUUGUAGCCACAAACAACAGAUGCUGGUCCCCAUAAAUCGGAGACCGCCAAGGAAAAAGGUUUAUUAUAUUCAGUAUUAGAAAGUUAAAAAGGGAUUUUAUGUGACUUCCUUUUUUGACAUGCAGUACAAAUAGUAUUAAAGCAACCUUUAUUGAAAGAAAUAUUACACUUUUCUAAAACAUUCUUAACAAUAGAAGCAGAUAGACGUUUGUGCCAGAGAGUAAAAUUGUCACUACUAUUGUUCUGAGUCGGAGGCCCACUAUUAGCAGUAGAAGGAACCAUAUGAUACGAAGCAGGCACCGUGGGCGAAGAGAAGUGAUAUAGUCCAUCACGAAUGUUGCCUUUCAGUAAUAUUUCCUGAGUCUGGGUUUCCUUGACAAUAUAAUAAGUCGGAUAAAAUUCAAAAAAGACAUCAUCGUCAGUGGCAAACUGGGACACAGACAUGAGAUUUUUUUUGUAUGGUUGGUACACACAAAACGUUAGAUAAAUGAAACAAUUUAUGUUGAGUAGGUAAUUCUGAAUUCUCAACAGAUAAAAUCUUAGUCGGAGUGCCAUCACCCAUUAAAAGAGAAGAGUUACCUGAAUAAGGUGUUGAACCAUGCAGUGCAGACGCGUCACGACAUAUAUGGUGAGUCGCCUUAGAAUCAAGAUACCAUGAAGCAGUACCAACCAAUAGAAGAACAUAAGAAUCAGAACCAGCAAAGUUGGACCCAGACUGAGUGACAUUCAUAUUAGACCCUGAAGUGUUGGAUACAUCAGAAGCAUGUAUAUCAGGUAUGCGUGGGAGACCAAUGCAUGGAUCGAAGGCAGUGUAAACCCGAGCCCUUGGUUUGGUUCGCCAAAGAAUAGAUGGACCAGCCUCAUUAUAGUCACCAGUACCAAAAGGCCCAAAUUCGCGGCCAGGCCCAUAAAAGGGAGCAAAAUCGACAUGAUUGGAUUGAGGCCAAGUAGGAAUAGAAUUGUCAUGUGGCCCAAAAAAACCUUGGGCAGAUCCAGCAUUUGGACCUAGACCAGACCGGCCACGCACGAGUAGCCCAUUAGCGUUAGCACCCGCAUGUGGUCUUUCUGAAGCUUUGCCAAAUUCAAAAGAAAAUGUGAACUCCCUAUGGGCCCCACGAAAGCCACCUGUUCCAUCAUCACAACCAACAAAUGGGUUAGAAACCUUAUUAGACCUUUGAGACCAUUCGGCGCAGCAUAAGGCCACCAAUUUUCACGAGAAAGAUGUCCUAGUGAUGUAGUCGAAGGAGGCCCUGCGAAAGGACCAGAGAACAGGCCAAGGGCAGGCGAUGGAACGGAGAAGCCACUAGCGACGAAGCUCGAACCAGUGCGAUCCACCUGUGGUGGCCCGGCAGAGUCCCUAUUAUACCUAUAAUAGCAUCUUUGAGCAACAUUGCCAAACUACCCAUAAAUUUGGCACUGUACACGAAAUCGGAAUCCACGCCCGCAACCUCCAGACGGUGGGCGACCACCACACAUCUGAUCACCAAACUGCGACGGGCCAAACUCUAGUAGAUUAGUAUGAAGAGAAACUUCGUGAAUCGCACAGAUCUGGCGAUUUUCAUACUCAAGUAACACGUCAAUGAGACGUUGUAACGGCAGCGGUUCCGACAAGAAAGAAGCCAAGGUGAUAACAGCAUCAAAAUCCAAAGGUAAGCCUGCAAGAAUUAUUUUGACCUUCUCUGCCUCUGAGAUCCGUGAGCCAGAGGCCUCAAUCAAGGCACACGUGGUUUGGAAUUUUGCAACAUAGCCCUUAAUCGAGAGAGUACCUUUCUUACAAGAAUAAAGGUCAUGACGAAGACAAGAGAGCUUCGAGCCGGUCAUCGCUGUGAAGAGGCACAUAGCUGUGUUCCACACGUCGCAGGCCAAACAAGCCUCUGUAAAAAAACGUUAAAAACGGAAGAGAAAUAGUUAAAAGGAGCCAGGAAGCUAAUAACUUGUCUUGUUGAAAGAACGCCAAAGCAUCUGGAUUCGGCACUAGAGACCCUUCCGGAGACGUUAGAAAGCAUGGCGGAAUAGGUAUAGUACCGUCCAAAAAUCCAGCUAACUCAUAUCCUUCAAUGAUAAGUCUAAUAUGCUGUUUCCAUUGAAUGAAAUUGUUAUCAUCUAAUUUUACCGUUUCAUGGCGGGGAAACAAAUAAAUGAGCCGAGCACUGGUAAAAGCCUGAGAGCCAGACUCGACAGAAACAGAUUCAGCAGAGGCCGUGGUGUUCAUGGAAAAGAGCUUGAAGCAGAUCGCAACACCUUUAACGUGGAGUAGGUCCCAGCACCGCUAGGCGAAUGAUACCAUGUUGGGAUCUCAGGUAUAAAGAAACUAAGCUAAACUAAAUAUUAAAAAAUAGAGAUUAAAGAAUUUGAGAAACUAAACUAUAUUAUUUCUUGCAUACUCUUGAAUAGUACAUGUGAGAUAUAUAUAGAAGAAUGAACUAACUGUUAUCUAACAACUGCUACUAACAUCCUAACAGCUUGAAUUCACCGGGCUAACAAACUAACAGUUUAGAAUAGCAGAGUAUUCUCUAUACUCUUAACACACUUCAACACCCAAAAAGUAAUGUAAGUCACCAAUAUCUUUUAGAGAAAAGUGUGUAGAGAACUGUUGAAUAAAAUGAUGUACAGCUUGAUAAGUGUUUCCAAUAACAACGAUAUCAUUAACAUAAACAAAAAUAUAAAGAAUAACUCAUUUAGUGUUGAAUAUGAACAAGGAUGUGUCUACAAUAGAGUUUUGAAAACUUGAAGUAAGCAGGAAUUUGCAUAAUUCAUGAUACCAGGCAGGCGAACCUUGUUUGAGUCCAUAGAUAGCCUUGUGAAGCUUGCAAACAUGGUUAGGAUUAUCACGAUCAAUGAAGCCCGGAGGUUGAGAUAUAAAGACAUCUUCUGAAAAUGUGCCUUGAAGAAAGGCAUUAUUGACAUCUAGUUGAUGAAGUGACUAGCCUUUACUUAAGGCAAGACUAAGAACCAAAUGCAUUGUGGUUGGUUUGAAGACUAGUUUAAAUAUUUCAGGAAAAUCGAUCCCUGGACAUUGAUGAAUACCUUUUGGAACUAGACGCAUUUUGUACUUGUCAACAGAACCAUCAGGUAAAUAUAUUUUUAUUAUUUUUUUAACAGUAAAAUAGGUUUUUUUGAACGGAUCGGGUUAUCUCAAAAAGGGCUUGGGCAUGAAAAUUGGAACCAGGCCUUGGCCUAACCUGGCUCGGCCCAUUAACAACUUGAGUUUAUAGCUAUUUUGUUUAGAAUAAUUUUUGGGGAAUUAUUGAAGGGAUAAAAAUAAUUUCAAAUUUGUGAAAUAAUUUUGUAAAUCGCAUGAAAUGUUAUCAUGCAGAGAAACAAAAUUGGGUUUAUAAAGGAAGAAAAUCAAGUGGAAGAAAAAGAAAGAAAGAAAUGAAGAGGAUAUUUAAAGAGAAAAAAUAUAAAAUUUAUAUUGGAUGGGUGAAAUAUAAUGAAGUUAAGUUUAGAUAAAAAGCAAUAAAUUAAUCAAUGGUGUUGAGUUUAAGUUACGGGGAAGGGAUAUAUGAAAAACAAUUAUUUUUACUUAUUAAAACAUUAUAGAAGUAAACUUGAAAUUUCAAUUACUUAAUACUUAAAUUCUAGACACAAAUAAUUUUCUUUUAAUUAAUUUAGUAAAGUAUAUGAAUUUUAGUAUAGGGCAAUGUUUAUUGCUCCACGUUGGACAGAAUUUGUGAAAGGAUUUAUUUUGAAAAUGUGGUAACUAUUCCUUCCAUGUUCAUGUGUUGGAAGUUGGUGAAGAUCCAUGGAUAAACCAAGACGAAGAUGAAGAGUUAAAAGGUUCAUGGAUAAGACCUUUGAAGAUGAAGAGUUGAUGAGAAACCAAGACGAUCUUUUAAUGAAGUAAGUCGGUGGAAAUGUGGAGGCUUGCAUGGUUCUCGAAAAUCGAGUCUUACGUAUCUAAAACAAUGUGCGACAGCUUGGGUAAUUUGCAUGCCGUAUCUGGGAAAUUAAUGCAUUACAGAGGUCAUAAAGCUACUAAAUAUAUAGAAAUUUGAUGCAUUAAUUGAUUGAUCAAAAGAAACAAAACGAUUUAUCCACUUCCCUUUCAAAAUUGCCAAACAACUUUUCAACCACAAUAUGUAAACAAAAUAAAAUAAAAUGGUAAAAAAGGAAACCAAUAAUAUGUAGCCUUAUCAUCUUGUGCUUGGCAAAAUGAUGUUCUAAUUUUUUAUCAUUUGCUCUAACACGACCUUUUACCUUUUGUGUUACAAAUGAAAAAGAAAAAAAAAAUAUAGUAUUACAAAAUAAGUAUAUUAAUUUUUGUUAAAGUGAUGUUCAGUUAGUGUGUUUGAUUAAUCAUGCAUGGAGAGGGGGGGCAUGGAAUUGUCCUGAGAGGCACAAAGUGAGAAAAUCUCUUCUAAUGAUCCGUUCAUGUAGUCCUUGCACUUGUCAUACAUCAUGUAUUCGUCAAUUAUCUCCGCCUUGGAGGCCUUUGUCUCUGAUAUAAUAUUUAUCUGUGGGAAGUCCUCUAGCUCUAAUGGUGGAUAUGGAGCUUGAUAAUGGAGAUUGGUGUAGCUUGGAAUCUGCAUUUCAUUCAUUCAUAAAUACACAUGUGAAUCAGAUGAAUUAUCUAUAAAGGAGUAAAAUGUUGAGUAUUUUUAUGAAGUGAUUCAACUCCAAACUGAAAAGAGUUUGAAAGGUCCAAAGUAGAUAAGUUGAUAAGGAAAAAAGAAAAAAGAAGUGGUUUUUGAAUGGGAAAAUUGUGCAAAUUCUGACUAAGAGUCAUCGAGGUUGGUGACAAUGGGGGGUGUGGAAAAUGAGGGAGAAAGAUGGAUGGGUCAGUCAAAAGAAGUUAUGGAAGAGAGUGAAGAAAAGCCAUGGAUUUGAGUUUGAGAGCUUUUGGAAAAGAGAGAGAGUUUGAUUUGGUCCCAACUUUUCUGCUAGUUUAAGAUGAAAAGCCAACUCAAAGUGGGUGUUUGGUGGGCCAUUUCCAACCCACAUUUCAUCAGCUCAUUGUACUUUCAAGUGUUGGGAUGGGGAAGACUGACUGAGUGAUUUUGAAGCCUUUGGUGAUUGAUAAAAGCACCCAAUAAAGCAGAAUGUUGCUGUGAAAAAUCCAGCGUUAGGCAAAGUAGAUAAUCAUGUCUUCAACAUUAAAAAAAAAAAAAGAAAUCGUAUAAAGCAGAUUUAUUAUUAUUAUUAUUAUUAUUAUAAAGAAUCAUAGGAUGGCCCAUUCCUAUGCCCUAAGGCAUGCACAUUCCACAUCAUACACACAUGUAAUACCGUACCUGAAAUAGAUCGGAGGAAAAAUCAGGGCCGAGUGAAGACAAAUUAGCCGAACUAUUGGCUUCAUCGGAGGUAAAUGGAGGUUGAUAUUCAUCGGCCAUGCCAGUUUCAUUGGGGGUCCCUUGAGUGACAUCCGAGGAAGAAGUAUUGAAAUUCUCAUCUUCAACUUCAGCUUCUCUCCCUCUUGAGAUUUCAUCACCAAAUGAUUGAUUAUUCUCAACAGCAGCUCCUUUUGUUUUAGGGAUUUGAAUGUUUUUCUUGAAGAUGCGACAUAAAGAAUACGAGUCCUGCUCAAUUUGCAACAUCAAGUAAAAUAUACAGAUAUGUAGAAAAUUAAACAGUAAAAUGCAGAAGUGUUUAAAAGAAUAUUAGAAAGAGGUAAAAAGAAGGAAUAAAUUAAAAGAAAGGAAGAUCACCAGCUAUACAUACCUAUAAAGUGUGCAAGAUUAAAACCAAAGACUCUUUCAAAAGAAACCGAAAUUGGAAAUCAUAAAUAUUAAUAUAAAUUACUAGCUUAUGGACUUUUUUACUGUUCACCAUAAAUAACAUUUAGUAAUUUGAUAUUCACUCAAGAAAUUAUAUUUCAGGAAUUAUUUUCCCUAAUACAAAGCCAUGUUUGAUAAUGAUUUUGCAUAAAACAAAAUUCAUGCAUCUUCUCUAAACCCUACUUAUAAUUAUUAGUUUAUUAAUAAUUUUAUUUUGUUUUAACAAAAGUGAAAAAGACCUUGAAAUCAAAUUUACUUUGACAAGUUCAGAUCUACUUUUAUAACCAAAUUAGUGAACUAAAACCCUAGUGAAGAAUACUAAUGUUAUACAAGAUGAACAUGAAACAAUAGUAUAAUAAGAAUAAAUUAACAUAAACACAAGUCGAAUAUGAUAUAUGGAUUGUAGUAGUAAGGUACCUUUAGACUGGAAGGAGCUGUGGGAGAAGCGGAGUGAAGUAAGCGAUAUUCAUGCAUAACCCAAUUAGUUCUGAUGCCGUGGGGAGCCCUACCUCUAUAAUAAACCAAAGUCUUCUUCAUACCCACCACCGCUUUCGACGUCUGCACCGCCCUAUCCUUGCCAGUGGCUUUCCAGUAGCCGCCACGCGUUGCCCUGUUGGUUCUCGACCCAUUCGGGUAUUUCUUAUCCCUGGGGCUGUAGAAGUACCAUUCCAUGUCUUUGCUGGGCAAAAACGACUUAUCUGUUGGUUUAAAAUCGAUGUCAAGAGUUAGAAGGCAGCAAAAAGCACAGAAGCGGGUCAUGAAUGAAUGAAUGAUUAUAAUAGAAUACCUGGUAAAUCCCAAGGCUCACAUUUAUAGAGAUCAACCUCAGGGAUAAUCUCAAGCUCAAUGGUGCGACCGCUGAUUUUCCUAUCCAGGUAGUAAGCGACAAGCUCUUCGUCAGUUGGGUGAAACCUGAAACCAGGAGGGAGAGUCAUGGGAGCCAUGGCACUUGUGUCUCAACACGGAAUUUAUUUUAGAAUGUAAUACAACAGAGCAGAACAGAACAUGCACUCUUUAACUAGCUUCUACCAUGUUCAACUAUAUUUAUAUAGAGAGGCCACUGUUACAAAUAUAAUUAAUGGCAAAAAACAAUUAGGCCUUAGAUGUUGGCUUAUAUUACAUGCUUGCCAUUCAAGCUGGCAACAAAACAUUUUCUUCACUAUUUUAAGAUCCUAGAUUCACAUUGUAAUUAUGGGACGUGAUCUGAGGGGGCCAGACUUUAGUCCCUUGCAUUUUUUCACUAACUUUAAUAUGCUUUACAUAAUCAGUUCAAAAUAUAGUAAGAUUCGGAGAAAACGAGAUUUAUCUGUUUUUUUUUUUUUUGUUUACAUCAAUUUCUUUUUUCUCUUUUAAUUUUUUUUAUAAAUAUAAUUCCAUUAACUAAAAUGGGGUUGAAACAAAGAGAAUAUGAUAAAUCAGAAGUUAGGGUUUGGCAGAUUCUGUGUGUAAGUGAGAUGGUGAGAAAAGUGAAAAGAAAAGCCAUUGGGGGAGGAUAUGAAGGAUAAGAAGCUUCUGCUUUUGUCUGCUCACAUACUAACAAAAAUCAGGGUUCAUCUCUAAAAAGGUAGGGUGGGCCACUAAGCCCUCCAUAUCUUACUACACGCAAUACUAAACCUAUACCCCUAUGCCUACACCUAUUAUGUCUUGUAUUUUAAGAAUAGUUUUUAAAAUACUUUUAAUUUUGAAAAAAUAAAAUCACAUUUUCAUUUUUAAAAUUCAAUCCAUAUUUAACAUUGUUAAAAGGUAUUUGAUACAAAUCACCUGGAUAAUCCUUUUUUUCUUAAUAUUAUUCACAAAGAUUACCUAAAUCCAUCCUUUUAUAUUUCAAUACAUCCACUAUCAAGUUAAUCUCAACAUCAACUCUUCCUUACAUAGAUUAGUAUUUAUUUUAUCACAUUCUUUUAUAUAUUAAAUAAAUUUAUUAUAUAUUUUUCAUAUUAUUAUAAUAUGAUAUUUUAACUUAAUGCAUUCGAUAAAAUCACGGGUUAUCAUUAAAAUUUAUAUAAAAUAUUUUUUAAUAAAAAGAAAAUGACAUGGAGUAAUAAAAAUAAGAAAUCUACCUUCAAAAAAAAAUAAAAUAAGAAAUAUGCAUUCAAUUAAUGGGAUAAGGUUUGUCCUAAAAUAAAAAUUAAUAUUUUAAUUAUAAUAAUACUAUGUUAAAUGUAAUAUCAAAUUUGUGAAUCAUAUAAUAAAAUUUUACAUUCUAAUCAAAUGAACCAAACAAUUUAAUAUAACAUACCCAGUAAUAUGCUAAUUAAGUAAUCCUACAUUCAACUAAUAAUGUAAUAUUAUUACUUGUAGUAAUCUUCCAUCUCUUGAAUCAAAUGCCUCUUUAAUAUUUGUCAUUAAUACAUUCAUGUUUCAAGAUUGGUAAUGGGAAUAUCUGUUCUUUUUUUUUAAAGGGAUAAUUUAGUUGAUUGAGUCUUAGCUUGAUUGAUAUGAACAUUGUUAUCAAUGUAGGCGGUGUGGGUUCUAGUAUACUGAAGCGCAUUUUCCUUCUAUUUAUGAGUUGGGGAAGAGUUAUGGAUAGUUUUAGACAUUGUGUCAAAAAUAGCAGAUACGAUCAAAAACCUAUAAUGAGAUUAUUAAGAAAAAGGGAUAAUUUAUGAUAAAAUAAAAUUAACAUAAUAUUUUCUCUAUUAAGUGAUAAGUAGCUAUCUACCUACUUAUCUUAUUGAACUUUUAUUUUUUGUGAAAAAUUUUAUAUUAAGUAAAAAAUAAAAAUGAUUAUCAAAUAUUUUUAAAAUAUUAAAUGUUAAAAUUUUUAUUUUCAAUAAAAUAAAAUAAAAAUUAAUGAUUUAUGAAACAAGUAUAAAAAAAUCCCACGUAUUAUAACUAAAAUAAUAUCUAUACAUGAAUGGUUAAUAUCCACAUUAAAUUUGCAACACAUGAAUAGUUAUGAGUUUAUUAUAUUUUUCUUGCUCAAAUGAAUUUAUUAUAUUUAGACAAUGUUGGUAGCUUUGAUCCUUAGUAUAUUUUAUGUAUAUUUUAAGCAUUAUAAAUAUGUUUAAAGUAUUAUAUUAUGGGAUAUAAUAUUUAUAAUUAUUUAUAAUUCUUCUCUAAUUUUAAAAUAAAAUGAUAAAUAUAUUUAAACACACUUAAACUUAUGUUCUUCUACACUAAUAAUAAAAUCAAUACUAAUUAUUAUAUGUUUAUAUAUACUAUUUCUUUCACUUUGUGUUGUAUUUAUUUAAUAUUGUAUAAUAAUAUUCAUUUCUAAAUUCUAAAUUCUAAAUUUUAAAAUCUAAUGGGGAUUGUACAAUUCUUUCCUUGUACUCUUGGCAUAUAAUUAAUUAUUCCAAAUACACAAUGAUUAUCCUACCUAGUACGUACAUGUAUACCGACAUUAAUUUAUGGACCUUAUUAUUAUUAAAGCAAUUGACAACUCAUUAAAACUUUAAACUCUGCUAUUAAUAAUCAUAUACUUUGUUAAAGGCUUAUUAAAUUUGGUUUUAUCAACAUGUGGCCUUAUUUAUAUUAUAAAAAAAAAGAAAAAAAAAAAGAGAGAGACAAAACUAGACUCACUAUGCUUCAUCUUUUGUUGAUGACAUUUUAAUGAUGAAUGAUUAGCACAUCUUUGUUGGAAAAGUUGAGCACUCUUCAAAUUUUGAAAAAAUAUAUAUAUAUCAUUGGAAAAGGAAAAUACCUAUGAAAUGUACAAUUAAAGAUUUGAUAAAUCUCGAUUUGGAUUUUUUUUUCCCUUUUUGCAAUAUUUUCGGUCAUUAUUUUUGAAAGCGUUGAACCAAAGAAUUGAGAAAAAAAUUCAAGUUUAUAUAUAAAUUAUGAGUGUGACAAUUUUUAUUUAUAUUUAUAUAUAUACACAAAUGCAUAAAAUAAAUUGAAGUUUAAGCUAAAAGUGUGAUAGAAAUUAACCUUAAAAUUAUCUGAUAAAUCGAGAUAUGAGUUUUUAGAUUUAAUAAAUAAACUUAUAACCGUUAGAUAUAAUAAAAAUUAAAUAUAAUAUAUAUUACAUCUCAUAUGAAGUUUAAAAACUUCAUUAAUAAGGUAUAAAAUAAUUACUCUUUGUUAUAUGUAUUUGUUCAUUAAACUAUUUAAUUAUAGAUGAAUGUAUCAAGUAGUUGUUCAAUUUCACGAAUCACUAGAUUUAAUGUCUUUGUACCUAACAGCGCCAACACACACAUAUCUUUGAUUAUCAGAAAUUUGGGGAAGUGGAAUGGAUAAUACAAUAUCCAAAUUGGAUCCUGAUUAAUGAUGUCAUUCAACUAAAUUUAUAAUAGUAUAAUAUUUUGGUUAAAAUAUACUUCAAGUCUUUAUAUUAUUCUUAUAUUUAGAAUUCAGUCCCUAAUAUUUUUUUUAAAGGAACUUUUCAUAUUUGAAGAUGUAUGUUCAAUUGUUAACAUCGUUAAAACUCUUUUAUUAAAUUUAACUUCAUUACAACAUCAUUAUUUCCGUUAUAUUGUUACAAAUUAAGUGAGUAUUUAUGUAUUUCAAAAUAUCACACCUAUAAAUUUAUCAAAAAAGAAUUAAAAAAUUAAACCUAAAUUUUAUGAAAUAUUAAAAAAAAAAAUUUAACUUAAAAUCACAUUUCAACAAAUUUAUGGAGUUAAAGCAUCCCAAUCAAAAUGGGUGAAUUACAUAGGUAAUUAUAAUACCCCCAAAGAUGAGUGUAAAUGUAGAAAAAGUGGGCAUUUCAGUUAAUUACAGUUGCUACUUCACCCUAAAAAAGGAACAAAAGUCAUGAGUAGCUGAGAUUAAUAAUAUUGUAAUCUGAUUCAAAGCUUUAUGUCAGGGGUAUUGAUAAAGCGAACUUGUAUUCUUCAAGAAUAGCAUGUAUAUUAUAUAACAAUGGAAGAGUAAAGAAUAACAACUAAAGCAUACAUUGCCACACCAUUAAUUAAUUAAUCCAACACAUCAACAAAUAAUUUUUCAAUUUUAUUAUAUAAUAAUGUUUCCACCUCCAAACAAUGCCUGGAAUUACGCUUUUAAGAAUUUACACCAUGAUUUUUUCUCUUAUCAAAUCACUCCAAAUUUACAUGUAUGUCACAUCACUAUUUAAUUAAUUUUUUAAAAUUUAAAAUAAUUAAAAAUUAUAAUUUUUAUACUUUUUCAAUAAUUUUAAUAAUUUUUAAAUUUUAAAAAUAAUUUUUAUAAUUUUUUUAUCACAUGACAAUCACUGUGGAUUCUACGUUAACAAAAGUUAAAUAAUUUUACAAAAAAAACAAAAAAUUAAAUGAAGGGCUAAACUGAAUUUUUUUAUAAAAUUUUGAAGAUGAGAUAAGUUAUUAUAUAUUAAUAUAAUGAUGUUUUGCUUUUCCUUGACGGUGGCGUAUACCAUGUGCCCCUCCUACCCUUCUACGUACAUUCUAAGACUUGGAUUAUCAGGGACCUUUUUCUUCUUUUUAUUGGAUUUUAUUUCCUAAUAAAUCCGGUGGAACAAAGACAUUAGAUCCUACAUUUUUAUUAUUUAAUUAAUAAUUAAAGAUGAUUAGUUGUUUUAUGACUAAAAGGGGAAAGGGUUUUGAAGCUCUAAACUCCAUGGAUUCUUUCCAAAGUAGUCCAAAGGAUCAACCAAGUCCAAGUUUCCGUCUUACUCAUAUCCUUAUUAGUUAGCAUUGAUAAAAGAAUAAAAAUCUUAGCCCCCAAAAACCUACAAAUUAGAAAAUGAUCACAAUUUUUUAACGCACUCCAAAAGUACAUAAUUUUAUUAAUAACUUGAAUGGUAAAAAAAUUCCAUCUCUCUUUAAUAAUAUUUCUACUUUAAAUUUUGUGGAUGGAGAAAACAACAAUAAAAAAAGUUUUGCUCUUUGUUGAGGGAUCAAAUCCGGUUCCAUUUCAAAAUUAAUUAAAACCCAAUAUAAUUAUUAAACACUAAAAUUGUUUCCUACCAAGUUAAGUUCAUGAUUUUCAAAACCAAAUCCACUGGAAAACUAGUUCAAAACAAGGGGUUAAGUCAAUUGACCAAUAAACUAGUACGAAUUAAAUGAGUCGAGCAAAACAUCAUUUUUCCUAUUUUUAUAAAAUUUUAAUAAUUUUCUAAUUAGAUCGAUGGAACUAAUCAAAGUGAUGAACCAAUUAUCUACCUAGUUUCACCACCAGAAAAGAAUAUUAACUACUACUUAUGCUAUUAACAUCCAAUUUAAGAUUAUAGAAAAAAUAAUUCACCCUUACUUCAAAAAUAACUUCUUUUAAGGAUAUAAGUGUAAGAAAUUUUGAAAAAUUAGUCCACUAAAAUUUAUCAAAAACUGAAAGGUUUUUUAACAUUAAUUUUAUUAUAGAUUUUUAUAACUUCUAUUUUUUUAAAUACAAAGUUUAGAACUACCCAUAAUUCCUCUUCAACUCUUAAUUAGGAGGAUAAUGCCCUUCAAUGUACUCGAAUUCAUAACCUCCUAUACUAAAAAUAAUAUUAAUCAAACUAACACCCAAUUUAAUCAAAAUGGAUAGCAUGAAAAAGAUAGAUAUUUUGUUAUUUAAAAAUUUUAAUGUUAAAGGAGGAAAGACCACUUUUGCCAUUCAAGACUUAAAGGGAGGUCCCCACCAGCCAUCUGAAUAAAUAAAAAUCUACCUGGCAUGGUCACACUAUGCUUUUUCUUUCGUAUAUAUUAAUUCUAGUGUAUGCCAUUCUUAUUCACAUUGCAAUGCCAAGCAACUUUAUCUUUACUGUGUUUUUUGUUCAAUGUUGGUGCACUUUACAUAAAAUAUCAUUUUCAUUUGAGUAACCGCUUCAAUCAUUACUGCUUUCUCUCAACCUCCUCCCAUGGGUGAAAAAUUUGUUAGCCCCCCCUAGUGGACGGCUUUUUACUACUUUUCCCUUGCGGAAGGAAUAAUUUUCAUUUGACAUAUGAAACAACAAUGGUAUACUAAUUUUUGUAACGUUAUAUAAUAACAAGCAGAUAACAGAAACUAGAAUGCAGUAAGGAUGAUUAUGCUGAUUGGUGAAUUAAAUGAAUCUAUUAAUAAGUUCUCUCAACAAAGUUUUUAUAUUGAACUCUCAAUUGCACCAACAAAAUAUUGUAUCUGCUUUCUCAAUUCAUACUCUCUUAUAUAAACUUCCAUUUUACUCUAAAAACUUCAUCCCAUAUUUCACAAUGCUAAUCCAUCUAUCUUUUCCAUCAAUAUCUUAAAAGGAAACUCUAAAACCAUUGCAUCACCGACUCUACAUUAUCUAGUUUCCUAUUACAUAAAAAAACUUAUUUUUCUAGCAUUAAAAAAAAAAGGAAAUAAAAAGGUAGAUAAGUACAAGUCAAAAUACCAACUUAGAUUGUUGUUUGUAUUGUUGCAACAUUGUGUAUAUCAUAUGGCCAACAACAGUGUUGCACUAACAAUAUGUUCUUAUCAUUUUUAUUAUUUUUUAAGAAUUAAUUGCAUUAUACAUUCUUAAAUUAUACUUCUCAUUUUAAAUUGGUAUUUGAACUUUUAAAAUAAUCUAAUACCAUCAUCAAACUAUCAAUAUUAUAGCAAUUAAGUCUUUUCAUUAUUAAAAUUAUUACUUAACCAUUAAAUAAGAUUUUUGUUGAUACAUGGUAUCAACGGUGGAGUUCCAAGAAGGAAGAAGAGUUUUGGUCCAUGAGAAGAGAGGAAGAAGAUAAUAAAGAUGGGGUUUUUUCUCCCGUACGCCCCUCUCAAAUGGAGUGUUUGAGGCUAUUUAAACCAUGUAUAUUUCAGGUCGGAUCUUAGGUCAGCUUUUUAUAUAUUUUCUUAUAAUUGUAUAACAAUUUGUCCCCCACCUUGUCCAAGAAGAGGUAUAAACUCUUUUGAGACAAACUUAGAUGUGUGGAACAUGUAAUUGGGAGCUUACUACGUAAGUUUUAAUACGAAACUUUAUUGAGUAGGUUUCGUUGUUCGAUGAUGUGAUAUUGAAGUUAAAGGAAUGAUUUUAAAGAAACAAACCAUGUUGUAGAACAAUGCGAACUGUAUUUCUUGUAAGUAAAAAUUUGUUUUUCACCUUGUCGAAGAAAUUAGCAAGCUUUAAAAGUGAUAGUCGCGAGAUUAAAUCAAGUGAAUUGUUGGAAUAUCAAAAAUUGCAAACCUUAAUAAUAUCACCUCUGAGCGUAAGUCAGCGAACUAUUAGAAGUUGCGAUCUUAAAUCAAUGAACUCAAAUAAUUGGAGGUUGCGAUCUUAAAUCAGCUAGCCUUAAUAACAUCAUAUGUGAACGUAGGUCAGUGAGCUGUUAGGAGUUGCGAUAUUAAAUCAGCGAACUUAAAUAAUUGGAGGCUGCGAUCUUAAAUCAGCUAGCCUUAAUAACAUUAACUAUGAAUGGAGGUUAGCGAGCUGUUAGGAGUUGCGAUCUUAAAUCAGCGAACUCAAAUAAUUGGAGGUUGGGAUCUUAAAUCAAUUAGCCUUAAUAACAUCAGCUGUGAACGUAGGUCAUCAAGCAGUUAGGAGUUGCGAUAUUAAAUCAGCGAACUCAAAUAAUUAGAGGUUGCGAUCUUAAAUCAGCUAGCCUUAAUAAUAUCAACUGUGAACGUAGGUCAUCAAGCUGAUAAGAGUUGCGAUCUUAAAUCAGCGAACUAAAAUAAUUGAAGGUUGUGAUAUUAAAUCAACUAACCUUAAUAACACCAGUUGCAAGGUCAGAAGCAUACAAAUAUCAAAUUAAAUAACAUACAUGAUAUAAUUCCAUAUCAUGAACCUAUUCUCAAUCUAAUUUUGUGAAUAACAUGCAAACUACCCUGGAUUUCAUGGCAAAAGUAUGUUAUAAAUUUGCUCUAAAAAUUCAAGUGACAAAUUUAAGUCAAAUACUAAUGAAAUGCCAGAAGUAAAAAAGAAUAAUACUAUAUUAUGAUGAUUGUGAAAUUCAAUUUAAGACCCGUGGCAAAUUAAACAAUUGAAGACAACAUUUAUGUAUUAGAUAAAAAGAAAGAUGAUCAUGAAGAGUAACACAAGCUUAAAAUGAUUGAUACUGAUAACCACCACAGUGUCUAUAUUGGUAGUUUCUUAGCUGAUGAUUUGCAUUAGAUAAAAAUAAUUGAAAGAAAACAAACAUUAUGUUAAAUUUUGAAAAGGAUAUUUUGAGCAAAUCUACUGCCCGACACUCGCACUCGAAUUUGAAUAACCACAGUAUUCAUGGUUAUCAAUUACAACAUGUUAUAAACUAGAAAUAUCUUAUAAUUAUUUAUUUCUUAUUUCUAAAUCCAAUCCUCUUGUAAUACAAAUAAAAAAGUUCUAAACUAUGUGGUUUGCAAACAAUCAUUGAUUAUGUUUAUAUGUUGGAGAAGAAUCAAUUCAAUGACUUUAAAUUCCACAAAGGUAAAUACUGUACAAAGGCUGUACAAGCCCAAUUUGAGGGCCCAAACUAAACAAAUACCCCAAACCCAAUUACAAAUGAAACCCUAUCCCAAUCAGCCCAAUACCCAAAAUCAAAAAUAAGAAAAAACAAAACCCUAAACUAGCUGCUGCCGCCUCUGACCCCUGUCCCAUCACCCCAUGCCGGUCAGUCACCCACUUCACCGCCCAAGCUACACCUGCAAGCAUUAAACAGAAAAGACAGAAGCAAGAAAAGAUAAUGUUGUAUUCGGCUAUAUAUAGCCAAACAGAAUGUAAAGAAAGGGAUUUUAUUUUUUUUGGAAUGAAAAAGUUUUAAAAAAAUACAAAACAAAAAAACGAGAAUAGUAGAUAGAGCAUAGACCGAGAAUCAAACAAAAAUAUCAAAAACAAAAUAAGGAAAUUAGAUCAAGAAUCGGGUUACAAAGGUCUAUUUAUCUUAUUUCUUUUUUCGAACUUGCUUGCAUAUAUUAUUUUUACUCUAAUAAAAACAAUACAUAUAUACAUAUUAGAUAAAUAAAUAAUAAAUAAUAAUAAAUGAGAGAAAAAAAUUACCUCCAGGCAAUUUCCGGCCACUGUGUACGGUGGCCGGCACGGCGGACUACAUGACAGCGACCGGUCUGCUACUUGCCGGAUUCUGGGUUGGCAGAAAGAAAAGGGAGAGAGGGUUGAAGGGCCUUUUUCAGUUUUUUUUUUAUUUUGAAGGCUAAAAUGAAUUUUGUAACAAAAAUUGGGCCUUGUAUACACUCACAAAACGGUAGCGUUUUGGGUGGGUGGUUUAAGUGCCGAAACGGCACCGUUUGGUGCUAAAUCCGUGUGACCCGAACCGCCUUUUACAGGAUCCGAGUGUUUUCUUCCUUAAAAGGGAUAUUUACACGUUUGAUCCCUCCCUUUUUCGUGGUUAUUCAAUUAGGCCAUCUAUGCCUUUCUUUGUUUUUAAUUCGUCCCGGAAAUUUGCACGUUAUUGCAAAUUAAUCCACGUCUAAACGCAGCGUUGUGCGAUUUGGUAUAUUUUCUGUUUUGAUCCUCAAUCAUUUAUGUGCAUUUGUAUUUUAAUCCUUGUCUCAGUUUUUAAUAGUUUGUUUUAUUUAAAAAUUAUCCUUUCAAUUUUGAUUUUUUUUUCAAUUAAGUUUAGUUUGUGGUUUAUAUUCUUUAGGAUUUAAUUAGUUAUUUAUUUAUGCAUAUAUACAUAUAUAUAUUUUCUUUCUUUUGCUGUAGUUUUUUUUAUCCUAUAUUAUUUAGUUAGUGAUUUCUUUUAUGCAUAUAUUUUUAUAUAUUAUGUAUACAUUACGUAUAGACUUUUAAUAUUAUCAUAUAUUUAUUUUUAAUAUAUACAUUUAUGUAAUAUUAUUAAUAAUUAUUUUUUUCUUUACAUUAUUAUCAUUUCUAAUAUAUAUGUGUAUCGUAUAUGCUCUUAUACAUAUUAUGUAUGUAUUGCUAGUAUUAUUAGUUAUAUGUUUUUAUCCUAUUUCAUGUACAUAUUUUUAUUACCUUUAUUAUCAUCAUUAUUAGCAUAUGUUUUGUUAUAUGUAUAUAUCUUUAUUAAAUAUACGUAUAUAUUUAUAUAAUAUUAUUAAUAAUUGAUUCUUAACAUUAUUAUUUCUAAUAUGUAUAUGCUAUGUAAAUAUUUCAAUGUUAUAUUAUGUACACAUUUUUUAUAUACUACGCAUAUGUAUCUUUUAAUAUUGUAUUGUUAUUAUUAUGUACAUAUAUAUUGCUUUUUUUGUACAUAUAUUUUUUUUAAUACCACAUAUAUAUUUCUUAUUACUUCUAUUAUUACGUAUGUAUCUUAAUACAUAUAUGUAUAUAUUGAUAUAUCGUUAUUAUUAUCGUUUCGUUAUCAUUGUCAUUUUAUUUUGCCAUUAUUUAUUUAUUUAUUUGCUUGCGUAUUCGAUUAUUUCAUUUUCCUCAUGUAUUUGUUUACGUUUACAUGUUACUAAGCCUCGCUAUUGUUUCAUCUUUUAUAAUUGCUCAUAUUAUUGUUUCUGACACUAUUACACCUAUCAUUAUGUUAUUAUACAUAUUAAUACCCUAAUUUGCUUUUAUGUUUUACUAUAAACCACUUUUUUUUACUCAAUAUAUUAAAAUAACUCUUUCAUAAAAGCAAUAUCCUGUAUUAGGUAAUUCGAGAUAAUCGUGCCCUAACUUACCGGGUUCCGAUUUUUCUCAUUUAACCUAAAUAACGGAAUAUUCUUUUAAAUCACAAUACGAGUUUUGAAAAAUGCUUAUUCUCAGAGAAACGAGGUGUUAUGCCCUAACUUACCGGGUAUGACAUUUUGUUACCUCGGAAUAAGAUUUUUGUUAACAGAGGCAAUAUUCGGCAUUUGGAAAUCCAAGAUAUCGUGCCCUAACUUAUUGGGUUUCGAUUUCUCUCGGUCAUACUAAAUAGUCAAAUAUCCUUUUAGAAAAGGAGGUCAAAAUACAUGAAUUUCAAAUAUAGGCGAGCUCAUUCUUAAAGUUCGAAAUGUCGUAUCCUAACUUACUGGACGUGACGUUUUAUUACUUCGAGAUGAGGGAGUCCUUAACAUCCGUUUUAACUUAUUCGAUCAUUUUUUAGCAUUAAUUCAAAGAGGGAUCGUAUUUUAAAUUCUUUCAAGUUUUUAAAUCUUCAGACACUAAGACACUAAUUAAUUAACUAGGUACCAAUUUUGGGCGUAUCAAGGGUGCUAAUCCUUCUUCGUGUGUAACCGAAUCCCGAACCUAUUUUCUUGAUUUGCGUGGACCAAAAUCGUUUUUUAAAUAAAUCAAACCAUUUACUAAAAACAACCACUUUUACGAGGUGACCCGAUCACACCUCAUCAAAAAAUAUUGGUGGUGACUCCCGUUUUUUUAGUUUUCAAAUCCAAGUCAAUUCUCGUUUUUCCAAAAAAUGGUUACGACAGCUUGGUGACUCCACUGGGGACCCAAAUAAGAGAGUCAAGCCACAAGUUGAUUAACUUUUGUCUUUUUGUCAAAAAUUAAAAAUUUGGUUUUGAAAUACGAUCAUUUCAUUGCAUUUCAUUAGCUACUUUUAGUGGUUUAUGAUAUAAUACCUGCUGCGUUGGUUCGAGUCUUAAAUAGUUUUGCAUAUUGCAUUGCAUGACCGCUGUGGUCAAACCCUUUAAGUGGGAGUGAGAAACUACUCCUUCGUGAGGUUUUCACCUCCGUGUAGGAUAGUGGAUCGCUUUUGGGAUACAUCCGUACCUAUGUCUUCGUGAGAUUUUCAUCUCCGUGCAGCCAUAGGAAAAUGUAUUCCCCUGAACUGAACUCGGUCUGUAUGAACCUAUAAUGGGUGAAGAUCGAGGAAUCUGCUGGUUCAGGUACCUUUACUCUAGAACCAAACCCCAUGUAGCGAGCCUUAAGAACCUACCCUAGGUAGAGCUAUUCCGAAACCCUAGUGGUUACCUGAGCAAGUGCUAUAUUUAUUAUUCUUUGUUUGCUUUGAACUGCGUAUGAAGUACUGACUUGCUUUGUUUUACUUUGAUUGUAUUUGCAUGGCAUUUUCAUCACAAAAGGUGUUGAUUCGCAUUCGGUUCCUAAAUAGAUAGCUUAUCAUGGAAAAGGGGUUUUUUGAUAAAGUAGAAAACAACGCGGCUGUCUGGAUAUGGGCUGAGACAACACAACAAGAGAAAGGUAACAGUCUUACCGAGGGGUACGUGUCAGAGUUGUGGGAUUUUACUCAGAUCAACGUAACUCAGAAUAAUCUCCAAGAGAUGAAAGAAAUUUAGGGUCAGUGGAAUGACGAGGUCAAACAACUAUUCUAUUGUCAUUACGGUGAUUUACCUUAUCUGCUCGAUGUCAAGGUAGAUGAACAUCUCUUUUGAGCCCUUGCCUAAUAUUGGAAUUCUGCUUACAGUUACUUCACUUUCGAGAAAGUAGAUUUGGUACCUACUAUAUAAGAAUACAUGACCUUGCUCCAUUGCCCGAAGAUUCAGGUUGACAGAAUUUAUUCCAGACCUACCAACAUCCCAGUAUUUCCAAAAAAGCUAAUGAACAUCACAGGGAUGAGCGAACAGUGGGUUACAACCUGGAUCAAACAACAAUGAGAUUGUAAAUGCAUUCCUUGGAAGAACUUGAGGGAUCUAAUCUUAGUGCACCCUGACAUGAAGAAAAGGGUAGAUGUCUUUGCCCUGAGCAUUUAUGGACUGGUCAUCUUCCCCAAAGCCUUGGGGCAUGUAGACGAGGUAGUCUCCGAUCUUUUUGACAGGCUUGGUAAAUGGACCACACCUGUACCUGCAAUCUUGGCUGAAACUUUCAGAUCAUUGAAUGCUUGUAGAAGAGCGGGUGAAGGGAGAUUUAUUGGAUGUGCACAGCUCUUGUUGUCUUGGUUCCACAACCAUUUUUGGAAAGUAGAAAAAGUCUCGUAUCGUAUCUUCUCUAAAAAUUACUCUCCACUGAAAGAGUUAGUAGCUACACCAAGGCGAGAUGAUAUUACAGAAGAAAAUUGGAUGACGGUUCUCCAAAAUUUACAAGAGGAAGACGUUGAAUGGAGAGCCUCGUGGAUGGUUCCGGAUGAAAUAUUAUACCGAUGCGGAGAUUUCGAUUGGGUUCCCUUGUUAGGAGUAUGAGGAGCCGUCGGGUGUGCUCAUCUGCUUGCAUUAAGACAGUACAGAUCCAGACAGUUUACACCACCAACAUACGGGUUCGCCUAGUGCGAGUUCGUGUUCACAGGGAAUAAUUACAAAAAAAAAGUUCACGAGAUAUCAAAUGCCUAGAACCAGACUCGUAGAAUGAAAAAGUUUGCUGCCAAUCCCAUGACUACUCCUGAGUACGACCGAUGGUGGAAUCAGAGGAUUAACGGCAACAUCCCUACAUCAGAUCAAGGAAAUCCUCAGUCGAUAGAAGAACAAUUGAAAGUAAUCCCAUCUGAGCUAGAAAUCAUUAGGCAAGAUUUCGAAAGAAAGAGCUGGAGCUAGAAAAAAGGAUCGAGCAGUUGGAAGAAGAAAAGAUGCAGCAAGGGUUAGAUGUCGAUGUCCAGGAACUAGAAGCUGAAAGACUCAGAAAGGAAAAAACAAGGCCGAAGAGAACUUGGACAGUUUGAAAAUGGACUAUAAGAAGCUGCGCAGAUCAAUGAGAACCGCUGGGCUAGGAAAAACAUCCGAACAGUGGUGACAGAAAGUUAAAGAAGAGCAAAGCAAAGCCAACCAGUGGGAAGAAAAAUUCCGCGAUGCUCAAGCUCGAGAAGGUGCUCUGAAAAGAAGUUUGGUAGAAAGCCAGAAUGAAAAUGAGGGGUUAAGAAUUUGGGUAUCAAAGUUAGAGAGGCCAUUGUCUCAGUGCCGCUCGCUUAACUCUGUAAUCGAGUUGAAAGCUAGUCAGAGCAGAAUCGAAGAAUUAAAAGAGAAUAUAGAAGAACUCAAAACAGCACUACAAAAUCGUGAACUUCAGAUGGAACUCUUUGAGGCAAAUAACGAGCGAUUCAAGGAACAACUUCAUCAAUCUUAAGAUCAGGUCCGGAGUAGGGACUACGUUAUGGGCGAAGCUUUGACUCAAGUGCGAGAAGUGGCUGAUCACUUGCAAACGUUAGCAGUACAAACCGAUGUGCUGAGUUUAAAAUACGAGUCAGAAUCGGACUGAGGCCGAAAGCUAGCUUGGCUUCUUAGGCAGGUCAAGGCCUUAAGUAUCAGGGCCAAGCCUUAUAUGUAAUCUAUUUUAUGUAAAGAAACUUAUUUUCUAGAAAAGUUACUCUAAUGAAAUCGAAUUGGAAUCAACGCUUUUUUGCAUUCAUCACAUUCAUUGCAUUCAUGCAUCAGCAUUGCAUCAUACGCACUAAAACUCACAACAAACCCUAAAAAUCAUGGCAGUUACCCUGGAACAUUGUUACGGUACAAGAGGAAAAACAAGAGCAAUGGACCAAAGGUUAGAGAGAUUGGAACAAAUGCAAAAAGAGAUGCAGUAUCAAUUACAAACACGUAUGCAAGAACAGCUUGCCAAAAUCCAGCAAGAUAUGAGGGACCAGAUGCUGGAGUCCCAAAAACGUAUGAUGAAUCAAUUAACGCGUCUAUUGGUUGGCAGAUUAGAAAAAGGGAAAUGCCCCUUGAUCAAUGUGGGAGAUGAUAAUGAAGAUCCUACCUACCCUCCGGGUUUUGCCCCAGUGGACGUUCAGAUACAACCUGAUAUGUACCCAAGAAGGCCACCAGUCACAAUUAGGCCCCAACCAUUUCAAGCCAAUGUUUCGACACCCAUGAAUUAUCAGGUUGGCUCGGGCUCCAAUCCGGGGGAUAACCCGGCUAACCCUGUGGUCCUCAAUCUCGAUGAAGUAACAGAAACCGAAAAGACAAUGGUAGAACUCCCGAAAGAGCUUGAAGAAAGGUGUAGAUGGUUAGAAGAAAAAUUUAAAGAAAUGGAAAGCACCGACUAUCGCUGUGGAAUCGAUGCUAAGGAAUUAAGUUUGGUUCCGGACCUGGUACUCCCUCCCAAGUUCAAAACUUCAGAAUUUGAAAAGUACAACGGGACUAGCUGUCCCGAAGCUCACACCACUAUGUUCUGCAGACGAAUGGCAGACCAUGUCAAUAAUGACUAGCUAUUAAUUCACUACUUCCAAGAAAGUCUGGUUAGGGCUGCUUCUAGAUGGUAGAACCAACUGAGUUGCGCCCAAAUCAGUUCAUGGAAAGAUCUAGCACAAGCUUUCAUGAAGCAGUACGGUCAUGUGGCAGACAUAGCCCCUGAUAGAAUCACUUUACAGAAUAUGGAGAAAAAGUAUAAUGAGAGCUUUAGGCAGUAUGCCCAGCGAUGGAGAGAGGUGGCCACAUAAGUCCAACCCCCUCUGUUGGAAAAAGAAACCACUAUGCUCUUCAUCAAUACCCUAAAGGCACCUUUUAUUAACCACAUGCUGGGUAGCGUAACCAAUAAUUUUUCAGACAUAGUAAUGUCUAGAGAAAUGAUAGAAAAUACGAUAAGAUGUGGGAAAAUAGAGGCUGGAGAAAACGCCAAGAUGUCAGCGCUAAGGAAGAAAGAGUAUGAGGUAAAUAAUGUGAGCACAUAUUCAAAAUCGAUCACCGUAAGCCAACCAGGGUCGACAACCACUGGUCAGCAGGGCCCACCCAAACAAGAGCCCAAUACAAAGAAAAAUAGGGAGAAACUCCAAUUUACGCCCAUUCCAAUGACGUACAAGGAGUUAUACCAAAGUUUAUUCGAUGCAUAUAUCGUGUCUCCCUUCUAUCUAAAGCCAAUGCAACCUCCAUACCCCAAAUGGUAUGAUGCAAAUGCCCAAUGCAAAUACCAUGCGGGAGCCACAGGACACUCGAUAGAAAACUGCACCACUUUCAAGAAAUUGGUUGAAAGACUCAUCAACAUGGGCAUCGUCAAAUUUGAUAAUACAUCUAGUGCAGAGAAUCCAUUACCUAACCAUGGGGAUAAGAGAAUAAAUACGACAAUCGAGAGUUUGGGGAAAGAAAUUAAGAUGAAUAUUACAAAAGUGAAUACCCCGUUGAAAGAGGUAUGAAAGAAAAUGAUGGAAAGAGGGUUGAUAACAUAGAAUUCAGGGGUCAGACCCCGAGAAGUAAAGAAUUAUUGUGAGUUCCAUGAUCAAGAGGAUCAUGAGAUUCAGAAAUGCAAGGAAUUCAGGGCUUUGUUACAAGGAUUGAUGGAUAAUAAGGAACUGGAACUCUUCGAAUAUGUCGGGAGCCCAGAAGAAACAGAUGUGUGUACCUCCGAAGAGGGGUCGAUGAAGGAUGUUUACAAAGUCAACCACCCAGUGGUUAUCAUAUCACGUCCGAGAAUGAAUGAAGCCGGGGCAUAAGUUGCGCCAAAGGUCGUGAUCCAAAAGCCCGUUGCUUUUCCUUAUAAAGAUAGUAAAAGGGUACCGUGAAACUAUAGCUGCAAUGUGACAUUCCCUGGAGAGGAGACCCCGAUUAAUGUAUCAGAAGAAGUUCAAGAUGAGGGUUUUUAUACGCGCAGUGGAAGGCGUUAUAUCCCAAAUACAAAAUUCAAGCAAGUUAAAGGAAAAUCAUUGGCAAUUGAGCAAAAGAAAGAGAGGCCAGCGGGACCUGAACCAACUGUUAAUGAAUCAGUGACUGAAAAAGAAGCAAAAAAAUUCUUAAAAUUUCUAAAGCACAGCGAAUAUAGUGUCGUAGAACAGUUGCACAAACAGCCAGCUCGUAUAUCGGUACUAGCCUUAUUCUUAAGCUCCGAAACCCAUCGCAGCGUAUUGAUGAAUGUGCUGAAUGAAACUUAUGUUGCUAACGAUAUCUCUGUAAACAAACUGGACCGCUUAGUUAACAAUAUAAGUACCGACAACUUCAUAUUCUUCAAUGACGAUGAAGUACUGCUAGGGGGCGAGGAUCAACUAAAGCUUUGCACAUCACGACUCGCUGUAAAUUGUACACAUUACCGGGGGUAUUGAUUGACAAUGGGUUUGCACUGAAUGUCCUACCCCUAUCUACGCUGAUUAGGUUGCCAGUGGAUAGUUCCCAUAUGAAGACAUGCCAAAGUGUAGUGAGAGCAUUUGGUGGCACGGAAAGGAAGGUAAUGAGGAGAAUUGAAAUACCCCUCUUAAUCGGGCCGAGCACGUGCGAGGUAGAUUUCCUGGUCAUGGACAUUAAGCCUUCGUAUAAUUGCCUAUUGAGGAGGCCAUGGAUACACUUAGCAGGGGCAGUCCCUUCAUCACUGCACCAAAAGUUGAAAUUGGUAACCAAAGGUCGGUUAGUAACGAUCAAUACUGAAGAGGACAUCAUCACAGUAAUAACCAGUGACGCCCCAUAUCUAGAAGCAAAUGAUGAAGUAAUCGAGUGCUCUUUUUGAUCUUUGGAGUUUGUGAACGUGACAUUCAUUACCGAAGGAAAUAGGAUUCCAAUGCCCAGGUUAUCUGAGACUACAAGAAUGGGACUACGACUAACUGUUAAAAAAGGGACCCUGCCCGAAAGAGGACUCGGGAGAUACCUCCAGGGAAGGAUUGAUGCACCAAUGGUGAAGGACAAACAAGACCAUUUUGGGUUAGGAUUUAAGCUAGACACGAAACAAAGAAUGAGCUAGAAAAGAAGCAAGAAAGAAUGAGAGUGCGAUUGAGCAGGAGAGAAAUCGAAUGGAAACCAAUGAUCUUCCCCCAUAUAUCGAAGACUUUUGUGUCUGGAGGGGUCAUUCACUCCGAGCGGAAGAUGUCGGGAAAGGAAAUCGUGGAAGGAAUGAUGGAGAGUUUGGACAUCAACGCCACAUAUGAAGAAAGAACUGGGGUGGAGAAUUUGUCAGGCGAAUAUGAACCAGGAAGUGUUUUGAAUAAUUAGACUGCGGAAGAGAUUCCUGUAGUCUUUAAAACUAACUCAGAGUAAUGUCUAAAACACACUUAUUGCUCUAGGCCUAGGAGUAAUAAGUGUCCUUUUGUGAAAUAGGUUUAUGUUCAAAAUCGUUAUUUCAAUAAAAUGCAUCCUUUUGACUUAUUCCGUGCAAAUAUUCUUUUAUUCUUUCAUCAUGAUCAUACCAUACAUAUCAUUUUUCUUAGAUUCUCUUAUUCUUUGUAUCUUCCUUCGCACCUACAACAGGUCUCCAGAUAUCAACGAUGUGAGUGACGUUGCUGCUAACUCAGAGUCUCCUUUUGAGCGGAAUAUGUGUCUAGAGGGAUCUCAGGACUUUGAGGAUGACGGAGACUGUAACUUAUCCCCUGAUUUGUUAAGGAUGGUAGAACACGAGGAGAAACAGAUUCUACCCCACAAAGAGACCGUAGAAGUCGUGAACGUGGGAGAUGAACUAGAAAAGAAAGAAGUAAAGAUCAGAGCUUAUAUUACCACAGAGACAAAGCGGGACCUUAUUGAGUUACUCCAAGAGUUCAAGGAUGUCUUUGCAUGGUCAUAUCAAGAUAUGCCUGGGCUAAGUACUGACAUUGUGGUACACAUGCUCCCCAUCAAAGAAGAAUGCAAGCCAGUUCAACAGAAGCUCCGAAGGAUGAGGCCGGAUGUUUUGUUGAAAAUAAAAGAGGAGGUCAAGAAGCAAUUUGAUGCUAGUUUCUUACAAGUAGUUAAGUACUCGGAAUUGGCAGCCAACAUCAUCCCCGUUCCUAAAAGAGAUGAAAGGUACGAAUGUGUGUAGACUACAGAGAUUUAAACAAAGCCAGCCCGUAGGAUAAUUUCCUGUUGCCCCAUAUCGACACCUUAGUGGACAACACGGCAGGUUACUCAAUCUUCUCCUUCAUGGUUGGUUUCUCAGGAUACAAUCAGAUCAAGAUGCAUCCUGAAGACAUAACUAAAACCACAUUUGUGACUAUGUGAGGAACCUUUUGCUAUAAGGUGAUGCCGUUUGGAUUGAAAAAUGCGGGAGCAACAUAUCAGAGAGCCAUGGUAACCUUAUUCCAUGAUAUGAUGCAUAAAGAAAUUAAAGUCUAUGUCGAUGACAUGAUUGCCAGAUCUCGGACUGAAGAAGAGCAUGUGCAAGUCUUGAGGAAAUUAUUUUUGAGGUUAAGGAAAUUCCAGCUGAAACUCAAUCCAGCAAAAUGUACCUUCAGGGCCAGGUUAGGAAAACUGCUAGGAUUCAUGGUCAGUGAAAAAGGGAUUGAGAUUGAUCCAGAUAAAGUCAAGGCCAUACAAGAGUUACCUCCACCGCAUACUCAAAAGGAAGUUCGGGGAUUCCUAGGAAGAUUAAAUUACAUCGCUUGGUUUAUUUCACAACUAAUCGAUAAAUGUGACCCCAUAUUCCGUCUCCUUAAGAAACACAACCCUGGUGUCUGGGACGAGGAAUGCCAGAAGACUUUCGACAAGGUUAAGCAAUAUUUGUCUAACGCCCCAAUGUUGACACCACCUAGUCCAAAUAAGCCACUGAUACUAUAUUUGGCGGUAUUUGAAAAUUCUAUGGGAUGCGUGCUUAGCCAACUCGAUGAAUCAGGAAGAAAAGAAAGAGCAAUAUAUUACCUCAGUAAAAAGUUUACUGAGUGUGAGGUGAGAUACUCGUUCAUUGAAAAGUUGUAUUGUACCUUAAUCUGGACAACCCGAAGGCUGAGACAAUACAUGUUGUACCACACAACUUGGCUGAUCUCUAAAAUGGAUCCUCUGAAGUACUUGAUAGAGUCGACUGCUUUGAACGGGAGAAUAGCCCGAUGGAAAAUUCUACUUUCUAAAUUCGAUAUAGUCUAUGUGAACCAGAAGGCCGUAAAAGGGAGUGCGAUAGCAGAUUUCCUAGCUAGCAGAGCCCUAGAGGACUACGAGCCUCUGAACUUUGACUUCCCAAAUAAAGAUCUAAUGUACAUAGCAACCACUGAAGAAGACCCUCAAGAAGGUCAUCCUUGGAAGCUAAACUUUGACGGAGCAUCAAAUGCCGUGGGUAACGGAAUCGGGGUAGUCCUGGUAUCCCCGAAUGGAGAUAAUUAUCCCUUCACUAGUAAAUUAGAUUUUGACUGCAUGAACAAUAUGGCAGAGUACGAAGCAUGCAUCAUGUUAAUUCGUGCGGCCAUGGAGCGUAAAAUCAAGUUGUUAGAAGUAUACAGAGAUUCUGCCCUAGUGAUUUAUCAACUCAAAGGUGAAUGGGAGACAAGAGACCCCAAAUUGAUCAAUUACCGAAGGUUGAUCCUUGAGUUAAUUAAAGAGUUUGAGGAUAUUGUCUUCUGCUACCUCCUGCGAAAAGAAAAUCAGAUGGCUAACGCCCUAGCAACUUUAGCCUCUAUGAUCAAGGUGAAUAAGAAAGAAGAUGUGAAACCAAUCCAAAUGAGCAUUUAUGAAGCUCCGGCUCAAUGUUACAACCUCGAAGAAGAAGAAGAAAAUGAUGAUCACCCUUGGUACCACGAUAUCCUGCGAUAUGUAAAGAAUUGUGAGUACCCCGACCAAGCUACUGAGAAUGAAAAAAGGACGUUGAGAAGACUAGCCAGUGAUUAUGUCUUAGACGGGAAGAUCCUAUACAAAAGAAGGAAGGAUCAGGUACUGUUGAGAUGUGUAGAUGCUAUUGAGGCUAAGAAAAUCUUGGAAGAAGUCCAUGAGGGCGUCUAUGGGACACACGCUAAUGGUUUUACAAUGGCCAGGCAAAUUAUGAGGUUCGGUUAUUAUUGGUCCACCAUGGAAGGAGACUGUAUUAACUACGCCAAAAGAUGUCAUAAGUGCCAAAUCUAUGGAGACAAGAUUAAUGAGCCUCCUUCACCUCUGCAUGUUAUGACUUCUCCAUGGCCUUUCUCGAUGUGGGGCAUGGAUGUGAUUGGGCCAAUUUCACCAAAAGCUUUAAAUGGGCAUCGUUUCAUCUUUGUGGUCAUCGAUUAUUUCACCAAGUAGGUGGAGGCCGCUUCAUACACCAAUGUCACUAAAUCAGCAGUUAGCAAGUUCCUGAAAAAAGAAAUUAUCUGUCGAUAUGGAAUGCCAGAAAAGAUCAUAUCUGACAAUGCAUUGAAUUUGAACAAUAGCAUGAUAACAGAGGUCUGCAGUCAGUUCAAGAUCAGACACCACAACUCGUCGCUGUAUCGCUAAAAAAUGAACGGUGCAGUUGAGGCAGCUAAUAAAAACAUUAAGAAAAUCAUGGGGAAAAUGACUGAGGCUUAUAAAGACUGGCAUGAGAAGUUACCAUUCGCCCUCUACGCUUAUCGAACGUCUGUUAGGGCCUCAACCGGGGCAACGCCCUUCUCAUUGGUCUAUGGAAUGGAGGCAGUUUUACCCAUCGAGGUCGAGAUUCCUUCCCUCAAAUUUUUGUUAGAGGUAAAACUGGAUGAAGCAGAAUGGAUCCAAUCCCGAUACGAUCAGCUGAAUUUGAUUGAAGAAAAGAGGCUAAGGGCUAUCCGUCAUGGUCAGAUGUACCAAAAGCGAAUGAUGCAAGCUUACAACAAAAAGGUUCAUCCCAGAGAAUUCCACGAGGGAGACCUAGUAUUGAAAAAGAUCCUGCUCAUACAAAAGGAUUUCAGAGGAAAACGGAUGCCUAAUUGGGAAGGACCUUUUGUGGCAAAGAAGGCAUUUUCUGGAGGAGCAUUGAUAUUAGCCGAAAUGGAUGGCAAGACUUUACCCAAUCCCGUGAAUUCGGAUUCGGUUAAGAAAUACUUCGCCUAAAAAAAAGGAGGAGAAGCCAAGGUGAAAACUCGCAAAGGGCACCUUGAGAGCAAAGGGGUUUUGAAUUGGAAACCCGUAAAAGGGCGAUUCAAAUAUUGAUCAAAGAUGGGGCAUACGAUACCUAAAUUAACAAGAAGGAGAGAUGUUACAUCUUGGGGCAUCUACAAGGGUACUCUAGAUCCCCUAAACACAUAUUGGGCAAAAAAGGGAGUCCUCAAAAAGUUCGUACGGAGAAGCUCACACUGCGAUAUCUGGGGUACCUAUUUUCUUUCUAUCCAUUUUGUAUUCCAGCAAUAUUUGUUGUCCAUGAUUAAUCUAUUCCCUUCAAACUUUGUUUCUGACAAAUUUCAGCUCUGUCAUUGUUAUGAUCUUUUUCAAGUAUUUUGCAUUGAAAUAAUGAUUAAUGGACUAAAGUCAUUUUCGCAAAAAGAGUUCUGCAUAUUACUCUGAAAGUCUCUAAAUAGUACAGGAACCUGAAACAAGGCUAUUAUUUGGAAUUAACCAAACUUAAAGAUUGGAAACAUUUGAGAAGAAAGAGUUUAAAUUGAGACUACCUCUUCGGGUUUUCUGUUCAAAGAUCUAAGCUGAACAAGAAGACGAGGCACCGUUUUAAUGAUCGAACCUUGAUGAACAAUUAGCAAUGACAACCCGUACAUUAAAAAAAGGGAUCCAUUCUCACAACAUGCUGCACUUGUGCAUUCAUAGGUCAUUCGUGACACAUCUAGUUAGGAGCAUUUGAUUUAUUUCGAUCAUAGCAUCCUAAUUAUUUAACAUAAGUAUCACAUUUAGUUAGGAGCAUUUGAUUCAUUUCAAUCAUAGUGUCUUAAUUAUUUGGCAUAAACAUAGAUGCAUGAAACUGAUUUUACAGAUUAUGUUCCUCAGAGUACGGUGCAGUUGAAUCAGUGAAUUCAUAAGCCUUAUCUCCCUAAGUAGUAGGGUAACAGGCUGAAUUUACAGAUCUUAACCCUCUAAGCAGUAGGGAAACAGAUCGAAGACGAUGGGCCUUAAACCGCUAAGCAGUAGGGUAACAGGCUAAAUUUACAGAUAUUAUCUCCCUAAGCAGUAGGGAAAUAGAUCGAAGGCGAUGGCCCUUAAACCCCUAAGCAGUAGGGUAACAGGCUGAAUUUACAGAUCUUAACCCCCUAAGUAGUAGGGAAACAGAUCGAAGGCAAUGGGCCUUAAACCCCUAAGCAGUAGGGUAACAGGCUAAAUUUACAGAUCUUAUCUCCCUAAGCAGUAGUGAAGCAGAUCGAAGACGAAGGGCCUUAAACCCCUAAGCAGUAGGGUAACAGGCUAAAUUUACAGACCUUAACCCUCUAAGCAGUAGGGUAACAGGCUGAAUUUACAGAUUUUAACCCCCUAAGCAGUAGGGUAGCAAGCCAAAUCUAUAGACCUUAAACCCCUAAGCAGUAGGGUAACAGGUUGAAUUCACAGAUCUUAACCCCCUUAGUAGUAGGGAAACAGAUCGAAGGCAAUGAACCUUAAACCCCUAAGCAGUAGGGUAACAGGCUGAAUUUACCAUCCUAUCUCUUUGAAGUUUCAGCGGAGUAGAUCGAAGUCACAAGUCUUAUCUCCCUGAAGUUGCAGUGGAGUAGACUGAAGAUAGUGAAUCUUAUUUCCCUGAAGUUGCAGAGGAACAGAUUGAAGCUAUGAAUAAAUAGAUCUUAUCUCUCUGAAGUUGCAGUAGAGUAGAUCAAAACAAACAUUAUUUCCUUAAAGUUGCAGAGGAACAGAUUGAAGCUACAAAUCACAAGUCUUAUUUCUCUGAAGUUGCAGUGGAGCAGAGUAAAGUGACGAGGCACAGUAGACUGGAGUGAAGCUACCUGAAGAAUAAAAGCACCAAAGAAGUCAAGACUCGGUGACCGGGCAAAUUGGUAUUUCUUGAAAGCCUUUGCUUUAUUCUUGUUAGACGACAAUGAGCAAAGAGGGGCAGCUAUACGAGCCCAAUUUGUGGGCCCAAACUAAACCAAAUACCCCAAACCCAAUUACAAAUGAAACCCUAGCCCAAUACCUAACCCUAGCCCAAUCAGCCCAAUACCCAAAAUCAAAAAUAAGAAAAAACAAAACCCUAAACUAGCUGUGUCGCCUCUAACCCCUGUCCCAUCACCUCAUGCCGGUCAGCCACCCACUCCACCGCCCAAGCUACACCUGCAAGCAUUAAACAGAAAAGACAGAAGCAAGAAAAGAUAAUGUUGUAUUCGGCUAUAUAUAGCCAAACAGAAUGUAAAGAAAGGGAUUUUAUUUUUUUUGGAAUGAAAAGGUUUUUUAAAAAUAAAAAUAAAAUGAGAAUAGUAGAUAGAGCAUAGACCAAGAAUCACACAAAAAUAUCAAAAACAAAACAAGGAAAUCAGAUCAAGAAUCGGGUUACAAAGGUCUAUUUAUCUUUUUUCUUUUCUUUUUUUCUUUUUUCGAACUUGCUUGCAUUAUUAUUUUUACUCUAGUAAAAACAAUACAUAUAUACAUAUUAGAUAAAUAAAUAAUAAAUAAUAAAAAAAGAGAGAAAAAAAUCACCUCCAGGCGAUUUCCGGCCACCGUGUAUGACAAAUCCAAGUCGAUUCCCGUUUUUUCAAAAAAUGGUUACGACAAAGGCCAUAUGUUAUCAAGUUCAUUUAAGUGAAUUAAAAAGAAAAGAAACCACAAACAAGCAAUAAUGAUCACACUUACCACAAUGUGAUUACCACAAUGUGAUGAUUAAAGCUAAAAGAAGUUUUUCAAGCUCAUAAUGUUAAAAUGAAAUGAAAUGAAAUGAAAUUCCUGCUGGGAAAAACCAGCCUAUAAAAGGCAAAGGAAACAAAUAUAUUGACAAAGAGUAAUAAGAAUAAUAUGUAUUUGAAAUAUUAUAUUUUAAGAAAAUGGAAAGACAAUUGAUUCUGUCGAUAAAAAUAUGAUCCAAAUGACAAGUUGCAUUUAGACACGAAACUAAGCUAUAUAACGUAGUUACUAGAAAACAAUAUACCUCAUAAUCAAGUGAUAUAACAAGUAGAUAUUAUUAGUGCAAAGUUAGGAAUAAAAAUGGAGUUUUAAAAAAAAGAAUGACCUUUAUGGAAGGAAUUAAAGUUUUCUUUAGAAAGGAAAAAAUUAAGAUCUAUGAUUUAUCAUGUAUAUCUAUUAGCAAAAUCUGAAUGAGUUUUAAACUUUUCUAUCUUCAAUUCAACUAAUGAGGCAAAACUCCAAUACGCCUAGUGUAUUUCAAAAAUAACAACCCCUUCUUUGACAUCUCCUUAUUGGAAAAUUUCCAGUUCUAACCAUCAUGAAAAUAGCAAGAAAACAAUUAAUAGAUCAUGAAAAGUGAAUCUAAUAGCUAAAAUGAACUCAAACAAAUUGAGUUCUUAAGUGGAUAAUUAGGGAAAUUCUAUGAACAAAGUAUAAUAUGUAUAGCUCACAUUGUAAUAUAACAUUAAGGUAUUAGAAUUUUGCUCCAUUUUGUUUUCCUAAAUUCCUCAUAAACCAUUACUAAACAAAGAGUAAAUUUCUAAAUAAAUUUUCAUACAAUUAUAAUAAAAUAUAUAAAAACCCAACCUGGGAUCCGACUCGAAAUAUCCAUUGUUUAAAUAGCCCCAAACACUUCAUUUGAGAGGGGUAUAGGAAAAAACCCCAUCUUUAUUAUCUUCUUCCUCUCUCCUCUUAGACUGAAACUUUUCUCCCUUUUUGGAAUUCCAUCGUUGAUACCAUAUAUCAACAAUGUCAAAUAUUAUAUGACAUAAUUUAAAAUAAAAAAUUUUAAAAGAAGUAAAGUGUUGUUGUAUAACUUUAAAAGUAAAAUUUAAAAGAUAAAAUAAAACAAGAAAAAAGAGAUUCAAUGUUUGAUAAAACUUUUGUAAAGGCUUCAAAAACCUCAAAACCAAGAUUUUUAUAACAUCCGUUUUUAAAAUAUUCAUUGUUCUUUAAAAUUUUCAUGGUAAAUUAUGUCACAUACAAUUUGACAUCUUAUUCAAUGGUUAAAUUAACAAUUUUAGUAAUGAAAGGACAUUAUUAAUAUAACCUCAAUAAUUUAAAAUUGUAAUUAAAAUAUUUUAAAAUGAAGAUCAUGAUUUGAGGAUGCUUGAUGUAAUUAACUCAAAAUUUAAUUAUCAAUAAAUAAGAUAUAAAUUUUAAUUUUAAUUACUAAUUAAUCCCACAAAUAUUAAAUAAUUAAAAAAUUAUUAUAUAUGUGAACCUAUUUUAAUCUAAUGUUUUUAAUUGUGGCCUUCUUACAAAUUUAUCUUGAUACAUGGUAAUUUAUCUUGUGAUAUAAGCAAGAUUUUACCAUCCAUUUUGAUUUCAUCAUUAUAGCCUUCAAUCUUACCAUUACAAUAAUCUACCUUGCUAUUGGAGCAAAUUUAAUAGCCAAUACAAGAAAAAUAAGUAUUAGCAACCCAAUUUCGUAAUGAUAUUUUAUAUUGUUAUGAAAUUUUGCAACAAAAUUAGAUGUGGUUAUGUAAAACAAAAACAUUUGCAACAACUUUUAAAUAUCAUUGUUGAAUAUAUACAAUUUUCAAGGUAUUAAUCACAAUGACAAAUUUUUUGUUGCAAAUUUUAAAUUUUAUGUGUAACAAUUUUCAAGGUAUUAAGUUCCCUAUUAUCCAUUCCUAAAGAGAUCCAGUAUAGAAACUACAGAGUGUUCUAUCUAGAAUGAUUUUGUCCCAAAUGCUUCUAGCAAUAGGACAAUUUGAGAACGUGUACAACCUCUUCAAACUCAUGUCCAAAAAAAGUACCUGCACUAUCACUCCCAAUCCUUCGCCUUACUUUUUCAGCAUUUGUAAGCAUGCAUUGUUUGAUGACAAGCCAAAGGAAGAAACAUAUUCGAUAUGGGCCUUUGAAGUUUAAAGGUAGUUUCCCAAAUCAGCUCUUUUGGAUGCAAAGAACCCUCUCGGAUUUUACCAUAUGCAUUCUAAAGGGUAAAUGAUUUAGUUGAAGAAGCUCCCCAAAUGAUUCUAUUAGGGCCAGAAUCUGGAUGAGGCGGUGGAACACUUAUAAUCCUACUAAUGACUUAUUCGGAAACCUAAAGUCUAAAAAUGUCCAAAUUCCAUGAACCAUCGAUUGUAGUCAUAUCUUUAAGAGGGCAAUCCAUGUUGAGGUUGGAAGUAGAAAGAAAUUGAUUAAGCAAAGGUCCACAGUUCAGAAUCCAAGGGUUCCACUAGUAGUUAAUGGAAUUCUCAUUUCUAAUAGACCAUAAUAAGUUAUCACAAAUGAGGAGCCAUACCUUGGAUAAAGAUCUCUAUAAAAAGGAACACCGUCCUCUUUAAAUGUUUUCAGGCAAACCGCUUGCAACCCUAUACUUCGAUCGGAGAGCCCAAACCCAGAGUGCCAUAGAA